rnacentral:lncRNA from 1 species
GGAAAACUACGUCUGAAAACCAUUUUCCAAGUAGAUUGAACUAAUUUUUAAAGUUUUACUCAACGUUAUUACCGCGGAACUAUUUGACUCGUAGAUACCUACAGAUUUCUCGUACAGUAUAAUUAUGAAUUGUGUAAUAUUCAACUUUGUUCGAUACAGGUGGUCAUUAAUAUUUUUUAACAACUACUGUGUACUAAGGUACCACCCCACAGCGAGAGCCUGUAAGAGAAGGGCUACAUCCCCUACAAACACGGAAAGCGUAAAAUACAGUUUAUCGCGCUUAAGAACUCAAAAGAAAAAGGUUUUAUAUUAAUUUGUUAAAUGUAUAUUGGUGUUUUGAUUACGAUAAUUAUUGUUCAAUUGACUCGGUAAAAUUGUAGAAAGGUUCGGGUACCCGUAAUAUAUAUGGCCUAUAUAAUAUCCGUGAAAAUGUUAAAUAUUUCGUAGUGAUUUAAAAUUCUUAUUCCAAUAGGUCCCAUCUAUUCAGAUUCAAUUCGAACGGGAAAGUAAAAACUAAUAAUAUGAAUUCACGAUAAGACCUAUAAACGCGAUACGUACCUAGACGUUUUAAAUUAUAUUUUGUAAGGUUAGUUUAGACUAAAGCGCGCGUGACAUGAAAAUAUUUAUUCGUAUAUAUUUUUUCAUCUGGUAACAUUAUCGAGCAUUAUAUCCUCUGAUGAAUGUUUUAACGUCAUUUUAUAAGUACGGCUAUACCGGAUGACGGGCCGCGAGUGUUCCGAACGCAGCCACCGACAAUAUUUUACGGUAUCCAAUUUAAAACGAAUAGAACCGAAAUCCCGAAUAACCCGAAUGCGAAUCACUUAUAAGAUAUAUAAAACAGUUCCGGUUUAUUCUCACCUCUAAGGUCGUUUGGAUAAACGCCAGUGUAGGUAUAUAGUAUAGGAUUUUAUCAAUAGGAAAAUAGCUUGGUAACACCGCCGCAAAGUAACAUUUUACCAUACAUUGUUUCACAACACUCAAAUAAGUGUUCACCGCCGCCACUGCUUAUACCUUUUAUCAGUAUUUAAUAGUUACGUGAUUUAUACAUUCAUUUUAACGUAAUAAAACAUUCGUAUAAAUUUGAAAUUCGGACCGUAACGAGGAAUGUGUUGAUUUUAUAAUGAUUUAUUUUAUUUUUCUACACCGUGUAAAAAACGUCUAACAGAAAUCGUGCCCUUAUGUACGAAAUGUCGCAUUUUUUCUCAAAGAAAAUUUUAUUUAUUUAAUACGUUAGGCGAGUGGUUUUUCGAUUUUAAGUUGUUUUCAUUAAUAUAAUUGGGAAAAAACGUAGGAAUAAACGGACAAAUAUUUACAGCGUGACGACUAUAUGUUUUUACAUUUUUGUAACUUAUAUUUUCUAAUAGAAAUAUUGGUCCAAUAAAAGAACAGGAGAUUUUUGAUUAAUUUUUAAUUUUAUUGGUUAGUACGUUAUUUUUAUUUGAUAGAUAUUCUGUGGGUAAAAUGUUUGAUCAAAGAGAAAUGCUUGAAAUUUCAACAGGAAGUUAAAUAUAUUAUGUCAUACUUUAUAGUAAAAAAAGAAUUGAGUUUUUUUUUUCAUAAAACUGUUUACACUAUAUAUUGAUAAUAUGGGCUUUAAAAACAUGUAUAACCGAAUUUCGCUCCAAAUUGAUCAUCGUUAACUAUAGUUUAUCGUUACUAAUGAAUAUAAGUUAAAUAACUUAACGUAUCAUAUCUUUUUAAAUUCUUAUCUACCAAAAUAACAUAUCUGCCCCCAGCAUCAACAAUUUUUCAUAUAACUGUAACAUGUAUUCAUGUACAUGAUGAAUGGCAUUUAAGUUUCAGUCAAUAUUCAUAAGUAAAGUAAAAUUAUGGGUUAACGCAAUAGGAAAAUGUACGCAUAAUGUCGCCUAUUAUCUACAUAAGCGCCGGGGAAUUGGACAAAUCAGAAAUGACCGGUAUAAAGUAAAACAAUGUAUGGCAUGGAAAAAAUACCGCCGGGUUAGUAGAUACUUACUUAUUCGAAUUAUUUUGUCGACGAAUGAAGUAAAAUGCAACUGAUGUUAACUCACUUGGAAUUUAAUAUAAUAAUUUUAUUUUGAUAAAAAAAAAAAACGUAGGUACCUAUCUGUAGUAAGAUUUUGUUUUUAUUUUUUCGCAAACAUCCAACAACUUUAAUGCGGUACCGAAAUAGCGAUUACACGGGUUGUUACCUAACUAUGUAAGUUAAAUUAAAUUUCACGUAACAUUAAACUUCUUAUUUCUACAAAGACGCUCGGGCUUGUGAAAUUACUUUUUUUGUGCAUAGGUGCUUUCUUUGGAUUGUUAUUCGCGAAUAAUAAUAUUAUAUAUUAUUAUAGUGUCGCACAAAUUAUAAUAAUACUCUUAUUGUUGUACUACAAAAUAAUAUAUUGUUACGAUUAUGAUGUUAAUUAACUCGAAAAGUUUAACUCUCGUAAAGCGAUAAAAUAUAAGACUACUUAUAAUAAUAAUAAUCAUAAUAAAAAAAAAGGCUAUAGGUACCUACUGGUCUUACUGCAUAAUAAAGUAAAAUUUAAAGGUACCCUUCAUUGCAUGUAAACAGGUGUCAAAUAUAGUAUACAACCAUUAUGGUUAUAGAAUGAAUUCGGUGCAUCUACCUUGUGAACGUACUUAAAAUUAAGUAGGCAAUUUUAAUUUGUGUUCUUUUCUGAAGGUUACGUAAAAAAAAAAAAAAAAUAGCUAAUAAUGUUAAUGGUCGUAGUGCUGUUGUAGGAGUAAAGUUAAGAAGGCGAAAAACAUAGGUUUAAAUAGUUUACCUUAUUGUUAUUGAAAUCCGGUCUUGAGCAUUGUUUGAAUAAACUUGUUUGUUUGGAAAUGCCGCGAUUAUUACGAUUUUUGUUGAAAUUGAACUUAAAAAAGCCUAUUAAAAACUAAUGCAUUGCACUCAACUUUUGAGAUUUGUUUUACCAUAAAAUAAAAUGUAUGAACCUCGUGUUGAAUGUUCAAACAUUUUCAUUUACAUAAAAUCAAAUAAAAUAAAUCAAAAAACUUCAAAUGUCAAUAAAUAGGUAGAAAAUAUCCAACGUUUUUCGAACAUUUUACCACGUUUUGAAAAGGUUAAUAUACAUAUUCUGUGAAAGGUUAUCUUUAUAAUAAGGUAAUGUUUAUAAUAAUCAAAAAUUAAAAAACCGAAAAUAAUGAAACCGUUAUUGCCAUAGACUUGCCAGGUUUUUUUAAUUUGUUCCCGUUUAUUGACAGAUAUAAAAAAAAAAAAAAAAAAAAUUGAAUCGUUCUCAUCAUGUACCAACCAAACAAGAUUUUCUUUUUUAAGGUACGCAAUAACACAUGUUAGCAAGAUUUCUGGCAGAAAAGUUGUUCAUAGACACAAACAUAAUAAAAAAAAAAUUUAAAAUCGUAGUAAAAUUAAUAUAUUUCUCGGUUCGUUCGUAAUCUAAAAGGUUUGUUCAAUAUUCUAAUAUGAAAUCAAUAUUGUAUCAAUCGUACUAUACUUGAGAAUUAUUACUUUGCGAGAUCAUAAUAAUAUACCUGCGCUCUAUAUUUUACUGUACAGUGUACAGCUCACUUACUAAAAAUUAUAUUAUCCGCUUGACAAUACUGACUGCAGAACUCAUUAUAUAAUUAAUACAAAAUAAAUAUAAUAUAAUUAAAACUGGAAACUUCACAAAAUGCGUGUACAUUACGGAACUCACAAAACCUUUAGAAACGUAGGUAGGUAAUAAAUAUCAACUAGGUACCCAAACAAUUAGCGUUACACACAAUUAAUGUGCGAAACGCAAUGCUCAUUUCACAAACACCAGCUAAAAGUGUGCAGGUAAAUUUAGCGAAUUUAGCGAAGCUACAUACCAAACUUAUGUGAUAUACAAUCAUACAAAUAUAUAACGUAUGAGAGGUAAACGCGAAUAUAGUAAAAUUAAUAAAAGAUGAAAUAAUAUAAUGCCUAGUUUGGAUUUUUGUCGGAAAUAUAAUAGAAACUGGUACCUACAAAUUUAAAAUUUCGAAUGCGUAAUAUUACGAUUUCUUGAAAUAAUAUAAGUUUUACUAAAAUUGUAAUACAUUUUAAACUAAACAAAUUCAAGGAUGCGUGUUUUUUUUUAAAUUUGAUGUCACUGAGUAAAAUUAAUUUACACUAGAAUACAUGCAAUAUAUAUGUAUAAAUAAAGUUUUAUAAAUAGAUUUUAUAAAAAAAUGAAAGAUGUGAUCGUGUACGGUGUUGAUAUGAGAACGACUGAUGUAUACGACAAUGAUGCGGGAAACUGGGUCAAAUCAAAGUUUAAGAAAACGAUGACUGACUACAAAUAGUUGAGAUGAUAUCGAAAAAAAACGAAGAAGAAUUAAAAAAAAAAUAUUAUAUAGUUUUAUUCUAAAUCAAAAAUCGUAAAACCAUUUUGUUUUAUCUUGCUUUUUUUAAGCACUUGAAUAUAACAAAACAUCAAUUUAAUUUUACGUUUGAGUAUAAUAGGUAAAUUGAGCUAUUAAAGAAGCAAUUAAUUAUUUACUAAGAUGUAUUUAUUUUCACGUACAAUUUUUGUUUUUGGUUAUAUAAUCGUUCAUAUUUUUCUAGAUUCACGACAUGUUUUGCGUACAAAUUAAUAAAAAAAACCGCAAAUCACGAUACAUGUUAGUUUUUUGUUUGUUGAGUUCCAGGUUCCAGGUAAGGCAAGUGAACACAGCCUCACCAAUUUACCGAGCUCAACUCAUAAUCGUUUUUCGAUUACAAUGAUUGAUAGUCACAAAUUCGUGUUUCAAUACUUAUCUUAUAGUUCGUUGACAUACGAAUUUGUAUAGAUUUUAAUAUUUUCGUUUAUAAUUAUUAUCUCCUCGAUUCAACUGGUCUGCUUUUAUGAACCUUAUGUUAGUAUAUAGAUAAAGGUCUCGUUUUCUAUUUAUAAUAUUUUUUUUUCUUUAUAGUUACUCCGUUUUAAUUACACUUUCGUAUAUAUAUAUAUAAAGUGGAGAGCACCGUUUAUAUAAAAUUAUAUUGAAAAAAAAAAAAAAAGCCGUUCAUUCAAAAAUGUGUCUACAGACACGACCGUGCCACUAUUACUAUAAACACCGUCAACGAGGUUAUUAUGAUGCCUUUGUGACUUUGUUUAAUUAACGAUGUCAUAGAAAAUCAACAUUUUACCACCGAACAAUUUUUCGAGAAUAUAAUAUAAUAUUCUUUUAUGAUUUUUUUUUUUUUUUUUUACAUAUAAUAUUUAAAUAAUAAUAAUAAAAUGAAAAAAUGAUAAUCACACUGGCCCGCGCCCCGAACAAUGGAACGCAAUCGAAUGGACAAUGGGCUGGAAUUUUGUCUUUUCCGGGGUAAUAAAAGACCCCAGUCUAAAUAUUAUUGCCCCCUCCGUCAUCCUUUCGUUUCUUUAUGCCUAGAUACCGCAUUGAAGGAUUUCAAUUUUUUUUAACGGGUGGAAGGAGGGGGUGGUCUUUAAAAAAAAAGCAUAGCCACAGAGAAGGUCGCGCACUCUCUUUUUUUCUGCUCUCAGCUCCGCUAUAACUAUUACAAUAUCGUCUAAAUAAUAUGAAUUUAUUUUUAGGGUCGUGCGAUUAUUAAAAAAUAUACUUCAAUAACUUGAAUUUAACAAGAAAAUAUGUAUAAUAUAUUUAAUAUGAUAGACAUUGCGUUCAAGGCCAAAUUCAGGGUUCAGAAGGCCCCCUGGCCGAACACAAAGGAAUUGGAAAUGAGUGCUUUUUAUAUCGACUUUAUGUAAAUUUGCAUGGGUACUUUGAAAUUAUUUAUUGAACAUUAUUUCAUAAACGUAAAUAAUAACACUAUGGGCCUUUAAAUUCCCCGAGCCCAGUGGGUGUUGCCCCUGCCCCUACUGCCACACCUCUUAAUCCGUACUUGAUUGCGCUUCUUCAGUAUCCUUAAACAAAUUUUACAUCACGUACCUAUACGUACCUUUCAAAUUUAAUUGAUUAAAAAAGUAAAUACAAAUGCAAAUGAUAGAAAAUACGUAAACUUAGGUGGAUUUUUUUAUUUUUAAGGGGUAGCAAUUACAAUUAAAAAAUAAUAAUAUUCUUUAUUAAGUAUUAUCGCUAUACGGACAUUUUGUUUCUACAGUGCUGCAUUAACUUUUUCAUUAGGCAACUUUACUUUAUGUAGAGUAAAUAUUGCAAUUAAAAGAUACGGAGACCGGGUGUUAUGUUAACACUUUGAGCUUCGUUUACACGACGACGACGUUAACGGUACCUAUAUUAUGCGUAUAUUUUAUUAUUAUUUAAAAGUAUUCAAACGCGAUAAUUAUCGCCUUUUGAAAAACGAUUCCGAAUAAAACUUCGCAGAAAUAAAAUUUUAACGAGAACUAUAGUGUCAGAGACAUCAAUUCAAAAGUUAGUAAUGUUCGGUUUUCUGUAAGGUGUAGAGUUGGGCUUUUUUUCACUGCUUAUAAUCAAGCAAUCCUUUGAUUAAGAACAUAUUAAACUAUACAAUAAGAAAAAAAAAUAGUAUUUAAUUAAAAAAAUACUGUAGUUUAGUCAUAUAGACAAACAUACAUCUUUGGUCCAAGAGUAGAAAGGCUUAAGUAAUUAAGUUUAUUUUAUAUAGUUUCCAGUACAAUCAAAUUAAAUAUGGAAAAUGUAUUGUACACAAAAUUAUACAUUAAUAUACUACAUACAUUAAUUUUUAAAACCAAUUCACUUCUGCAACUUAGACCUAAAAAAGGCAUCCUAGGAUAAUAAGGACGGAUAUAUAUAGUCUAUAGCCUUGCUAGAGAUAAUUUAAUGUACACCUGUAAGCAACGAUGAACUUUUGCUAACGAAAAAUCGAUUCUGAGCGCAGUUCAAUUUAAAAAUGCUUUGUCAAUAAUAAAUGUAUCAUAUUGUGGUAAACUAAUUAAAUAGAUAUCAUUUUUUUUCUUUAAUAAUAUUUGUUUAAUAUUGUGUCAAUUUUCCCAGGUUUUUUCCCGGGUUAUUACAUUUGCUAAUAAAAACUCUCGGAAAAAUCGAAAAAUGAUCCACUUGAUGUACCUUCUCAGUCAGAUAUACUUUCAGAAAAAGUGCUAUCUUUAUAAAUCGGAGCAAAGUUGCUAGUCGAAAAAUUUUAUACAAAAAAGACCAUAAUAUUUUUUUUACUAAUACCUACAUUUCGUACAAUUUUCGUUCUUCCCACAUUUUAUACCAGUUGUUCCCAGUUAUAAUGAAAACCGAUUAAAAAAUCACAAAAAUUACCUCUCUAAACCAUGAACAUAAAAUUUCCUUUCAUAAAAUAAGCUACACUUGACACAUGGGAGCAAGAUUUCUGAAAGAAAAGUCUGCCCAAUAAAUCAAGGGGUAUUUUUCGAUUAAAAUUAUUCGAGCAAGUGAUAGCUUAAGUGUACCUAGAAACCUCUCUAGGUACACUUAAAAUGAAUAACUUUUUCUCUAUUUAGGUAAAAAGGAAAAAAAUUCAAGCUAUUUCUUUUCAAUCCCCGGGUUCGAACCUAAAACGACAAUACGUAUUCAUGACCAUUCGACUAUAACACACGUAUAGUAAAGUAGACAAUAUAAAGUUAUUUACCAUAAACAUGAUAUAUCUGUAUAAUAUGUGAACUUCAAAAAGCUAUAGUUAUCGAAACUUAGUCGGUCCGCUCAAUUCUGACUUUACCAUCCUUAUUAAAUCGGCUAUACACGUGUAUUCGAAAAGUUUUGAAAAAUUAGAUUUGUUUCACAUAAUUUUUUGCUAAAAACAAUUUUCGUCAAAAUUUAGUAUCAAAAUUCUUCAUAAAAACAAAUACUGCAUUAAACUCAAUUUUACUACAGAGUACCUACCGAAUAAAAAUUACGUACAUAAAUCGCAAAAUUAAAAUAUCUAUACAUAGCUGAAAAAUAGCUUAAUUUUUUUUUAAAUUUUACCACGUCUAGAAAAGGCAAAUAUAAAUUGUCUUUCCAAUUUUCAAGUUUCUACGAAUAUUUUUAACUAAAUUAAAAAAAAAUAACACAAUUGAUAAAAUAAAAAAACCGUUAAUUUCGUAAAUUUCCUGUUUUUCCCAGAUAUUAUGAAAAUUGCUUGGAAAACCAAAAAAUACCAUCUGGACAACAUAACCUUUCAGAAAUUGCGCUACGCGUAUCUAUCUGAGCAAGAUUUUAUGGUUAAAUUUUCGUACACAGGAUAAAAAAAAAAAUUAAAAUAAACUUCUUAGUAAAACCAAUACAUUCUUCGCUACACUCUUAAUCUAAACUAAAGAUGAAAAUAAUUUAUUACAUCAGAAAAAAUUAUUUAAAAAAAAAAAAAUGAUUAAAAUUAACUCAAACCCCUGUUCCUGGGACUAACGACACUAUCAUUAUACUUCUAAUGAUCUUUAAAUGUAAAAUAUUUGUAUAUAUAGUUUUAAAGAAUAAAGACACGUAAUAUUUUCAUUAUUCCUACACCCCUAACUAAUCUUCCCAUUAUAGGCAGGUUUCCCGAUGGCUCGGUAUACCGUUUUCCUAUCUGAUUCUACUCGAUUUCUGUAUUAUCGACACUUACUUCUAAUUCCGUAGUUUCUAUUUGUCUAUAAUUUACACUUUUCCUGACAAAUAUGAUAUAUUCUGUUUAACUGAAAUUAAUUUGUAAGCUAAUCUUCUCAGCAGUUUAUAAUUUUCAUAUUAGAAAAGUAAUAUUUUAAUAAUACGUAAACACGUUAAUCGAUACGUAACCAUAAUGUAUUCUGUUUGUGACGAUUACGGAUAAGACUGAACUAUUAUUAUUAAUAUACUAAUUAUAUUCUAAUUUGGAGAGUAAACACAAUAACAUUUACAGUGUACGCUUAUUUGAAUACUAUGUAUUCGUUAAAACCCCUUUCCGACCGAGAACGACGAUAAUAAUUUUACAAUGAAAUUUGUUUCCGUUUUCAUUUUGUCUUGGAAAAGGCUAUUUUUAAAUACAUUUGUAUUUUUUUUUUUUAAAUAAAGGAACACACGUGGCAAGCUUUAAGUUCAACCUAACUUAUCUAAGUAUACUCUUAGUAGACUGUGGCAGACACGCGAUGCAUUUAAAAUAUAUUCGCGAGAUCUAUUAGAUGCAAAGUGUCUGCAUGCAGAUAUAAAGAACAAAAAAAUACAUUCUGCAUCCAUGCCCGUCUUUCAAAUACUUCAACCAUCGCUAACUCGACUCCUUCUGUGAAUGGGGUUUGGAAAUCCUCAAAACGUUUAUAUGUCUUAUUUUAGUUAGUUCGUCUUUUGUUUCUGUUAAAACAAAUUUCCGGGGUACUCGAAUUCCCUAGUAGUGGUUUAGAACUUCAGUGAUGGGUGGAGAGCCACCGCUAUUUUUAUUUUAUUCUUCGCGUUUAAAACGAAUUGGCCAUAUAAGGUGACAAAUUUCCAGAUAACUGUAUAUGCAUUAUGUACCUCAGUGUGUGUGCUCGCGCGUUUCUUGCAGUGCAAAAUAGUAUUUACCGGAUGUAACCUAAUUUUUAUGUGUUGUUGUAUUGUUUCAGGACUGUCAACAGAAUCGGGGAAUAAGAAGGGAAAAAAAGAAACGCACCCCUUCUAAAUUUUCUCCAUUUUAUUGUUUGUUUUAUGCAUUUUCCAUGGGCCGUGUAGUUCGAUCGAUCCGCUUCGCUAUGUUGACGUCAACGGUACUAGAAGAAGACUUAAUGUCCUAGGGUGGUUAAACAAAUAUAAUAAAAGGGAAAAAAAAGGAAUAAGUAUACACAGUAAAGUUCAUAGGGGGAGUGAAUAAAAUAAGGAGAACAAAUAGAAAAUAAGAUUUAAAAAAAAAAAAAACUGUAAAGUAUAUAAACGAGGGGCGCGUUUCUGCACUCUAUGAGGAUGUACUCGGCAAAAGCAACAGCCAUGACGUUCCUGGUGGCCAUAUUCGCAGUGAGCCCACUUCACUCUUCCGAAGGUAAAUAUUUCAUAUUAUUAAUAAUAUUAUUGUUUUUCAAUAAUUAGAAUUAUAUUUUUUUGUCAAUAAUUAAUUAAUAUUUUGAUGAUGAAUUAUUUUAUGUAUCGAAGAUUAAAAAGACCAAAACGUAUUAAACCAUUCAUAAUCAAUGUAAUAUUAUAUUCUAAUAAAAUAUAUGGUAUAAUAGAUAUUGUAUAUUAUUAAAAAUAAAGAAACUAACUGUCUUACCUGUCUAUGAACACGAGUGCCCAUAAAAAUGGGGAACCGAGAGUCAGGUGUCCUUCUAUGUUUUCCGUAAAUCGAUAAUACGGUAUUUUAUUCAUUACUAUGAAUAAGUGUUGCUGGUUUUAUCAAAAAUAUUAUUUAUUAAAAUAAUUCAAUAGUUCACAGUAUACUCAGGAAUUGAAUAAUAAACUUAUACGCAUAACUAAUAAUGCCUCGCUAUUUUCGUAUAAUUUAAAUUCUGUUUAGUAUAUUAGGUACCUAGUUUAUUAUUGUCUCUUUUAUUCGGAAUCUAGAGCCGUCGACAGUUUAAAUGCUUCUGUUUAAUUAUACUACCACUGCCGUCGCCUUCCUUAAAGUCUUGAUUAUUUGAAUUACUUAGUUUUAUUCUCGUUGGAGUACAGCCCAGAUUUCGCAAAAUUGUAUUAUUACCGACUACCAAGUACAACUUAAAUCUCAUAGCAAUUAAAUUUGAAUUAUCACAAGCUAAUAUAUCACUGUUUAUAUUCAUUAUAUCGCGUACGCCACAAGAAACUUCACUUUUAUUUUAACGCCUCAUUAACAACUUUUAACAAUGCUCGAAGUCACCACAAGUAUAGAAGUAAUUGUCUUUGAAAGUAAAAGUUUUUACCAUUUAUUUUUCAAAGUACGGUUUAAUUUGUUUCUAUAUACAUAUAUAUCAACAUCAGCGUUAUUACUUAGUUUUCGCUGUAUCGACAUUUCGUGAUUAUAGGUGUAGUUUCUCCUUUUAACUAGUAUACUCACCUAACCUAACCUAACUAGUAUAGUAUCUUGUUUUUACUAUAUUUGUAUAUUCUAUAUUUUUAAUGUACAUACGAAAUUUCUAAAACUCUUAAUAUAUUAACAAAUAAAUAGGUAAUAUAUAUAGAGAAAUAUUGAAUUGUUAUCUAUACAUAAAGAUAAAUAAUUAUCAACGUUAUAGUGGUAAUACGAUUCUGAAUGAAGUUCGGUUAUAUAUAUAUAUAUAUAUAUAUUUAAUUCUAAUAAUUUUUAAAAUAUUUGUUUAAAUUUAAACUUAAAACUAAGUAUCACCAAGUAUAAAUUAUGAUAACCAUGACGUGUAGAAUAUCAAACAUUUUUACAUUUUUCAUUGAAAUCAUAUUAAAUAGGGGGUAAUGUAGCGUAAAUUUAUCCGUUUUUUUAAUAAGUUUUUAUAUAAUUAUUGUAAAAACUACAAAGAAAAGCAAAAAAUGAGUUUUCUAAUGCAUUAACAAGACCGAUAACUAUACAAAAAAGGUGUUUUUAAUAAAGCAGGAUUUUUAGUAGAAAAUUUGUUUACAGAUGCACAAAUACAUUCCUUACUACGUCCAGAAUAUAAAAUCUAGCGCCCUAAAUUGAUCAGUUUUAAUUUAUCGUCUUUUUCCAGUUUUUUACAAAAAUUACUAAGAAAAUCGAAAAAUGAAUAAUGAAUAAUCUAACCAAUACAUUAUUAGCUGCGUUCAGAAUCUAAAAAAACUAUCUUUUCAAUAUUUACCAAUUUACAAUUAAUAUUAUCUCAUUUAUACGAACAUAGGGUAUAUUUGUAGGGUAUGAUUCUAUAGAAAUAAAAAUAUUUACUCGUAUCUAACACACAAAGCAGGUAUUUACAUAUGUAUAUUAUCUAUAUUUCGGGAGACUGUUCUGUUAUUUUAUAAAAAAUAAAUUACACUACGUAUAUAAUAUACAAGUAUAUAAUUAUACAUUGCAGAAAUAAAAACUAAAAUCUAAACGUUUUUCGUGGAUUUAUUACUAGGUUUUAUUAAUUAUAAUAACUUUUCAUUUCAUCGGUGGAAAGUUUUAGGCAUUUUACCGUUUCAAACUUUAAAAAUAAUAUGUAUUCUAUAAAAUGUUGUACCUACCUGUAUACAAGUUAGUGUAAUAUCUUCUAAGCUAAAAACAUAGUUUUGCAAAAAUUUCACAUAUAAUGCCUUUAAAAUUAACCGAAUAAAAAGAAAAGGUGAACCAUUUAUUAUCGAUUUAAUAUUUAUUUUAUAUAAUUAUAUCUUUUCUACAACUAUAUAGAUUUCUAAAUUUUUACGAAUAAAUUACUUUAAGUAUUAAAGUUUAAUUUCGAAAAUGGUAAUCAUCGAUUUAACUUUUUUGUAUAUUUGUAAAAUAAAGUUAAACGUUGAUUUAGUUUUCCAAAUAAAGCGACUUGAACGUUAAACCAAAAAUAAAACGAUAAAUGUUGCGGUCAAUGCUAUUCAUUCACAUAACAUACAUAUUAUUGUACUUGCGAUAGGUAUUAACUUCAUACACAAAUCCAGUGACUUAAUGGUUAUAUUAUUCUAAACAUGAUGCAAAUGAUUGAGUAACUGUUGGAAAGGCUAUACAGUAUACAUUUACAAUUCAAAUUAUUCUACUGCAGAAGGUGAUCUUGGCGUGAGUCUGAUGUAGGAACUGAGUCUAGAGAUAUAUCCUUGACAAAUCUCUCGUGUAAUAGGAACGGCAAAGUUUAAAGUCAAUAGAUCUUUUGAGAAAUAAUAUACCUAAUCGUUGUUUAAAGUUAUUCUUUUAUCGGGUUAAUAACACUGUUAGUUUCAGAUUCAAAAUGCAACAAAGUAGCUAUUAUAGUUAUGAUAAUGUGUGUUUUGUUUUCUUUUGGAAAACACUUAUGCAGUGAGUUAGAUGCUCUAUUCUCACGUAAUAAAUUUUCAAAAUAUUUAACCGGCGGUAUUUUAUUUAAUAAUGUUUUAUGCAUUUAAAACGGUUUUAAUAAACAAUUAUAAUUUUUUUUUUUUAUAAUAAAUGACGAUACAUGUCAGUUUUUAUUAAUUUAUUGGUCUACGUGCCUGACGGGAUAUUAAUAUAGUCUACGAGAAAUAAAGUGAUAAUACGAAUUGCGUAACGUUUAAUCGGGAAACACAAGUGUUUUUUUCGUUGGUUGAGAUGAUAAGCUAAAAUCGAUUGCGUCUUGAGUACAAAUUUGAAAACUCUAGAGUAACGUGUCCUUCGAGAUUGUUUUCGAGAAUCGGUAAUUUCUAAUGCGUUCUGAAAAUGAGUGUCAACAACUUUAGGCGACGGUGUGCUAUUCGAUUUUGCUAUAGACUUGUGUAUGGCAUGACAAGAAUUUUUUAAAAAAUUUAGCAGGUUUAUUAUAGAAAUAGUGUUUUUUUCAAUAGCCCUCGUUUUUAGGUGGUCAAAAGUAUUUCAGAAAUGUUCAGAAUUAAUGACCUUCUAAUGUCAAUUAAAAUUGUUCAACUGUCUGCUUUUUAAAAAUACUUCGAUUCAUUUAAACGCCCUUGCCCAGCCCCUGAAAAAACAUUGUCUCCAUAAGUCUAUUGUAAUGUCUAAAGCAAAAUUGGAUUGCACACCGUUGCGAACACGCAAGAAAAACAAUCGUUACGGUCUAACGCAUGAAAUUUAGGGAAUUGAAACUUGUACUGAAGAUGCAUUAGAUGUUUGUUUGCUCACUAACCCACCAAACAGAAAGCCACUAGUGUUUUCAGAUUACACGCUACGCAGUCAGUCUCAUUACUUUAUUUACACACCUUAAGUAUAGUACGAGAUCGGCAACCGUAAUCUAACUAGGUACUAUGUUAUUCUGUUGGACGAUUUGAAUAUGCGUGGACUUGUAUUUUUUUAAAUAGAUACCUUACAUGUGUCGUUAGAAAAUUUUAAUGGAGCUUUUAGUGUUCUUGGAUAUGAAUCUGACAAUCAUUGAGCAAAUUUUUUGUUUUAUGAAAAUAUAAUAACAGAAUAUUACUUACGAGGUAUUGUACCAGAAUUAAAAUAAAAUGUAUCGUUUAACAACAAUAUUAUUAAAUUAUUUGUAUUAUAUGUACAUUUUUAAUUUUUAAUUAACUUUUUAUUGAUAUUUGUGACUUGAAUAUUUAUUAUUUACCACAAUGAAAAUAAAAAAUAUUGAUAUUGAUGUAAUUUUUAUUUUACUGAACUAAAAAUCUAUAACUCAAUAUAGUAAACUAAUCGAUUUAAUUUGUGGUGAACUGCGAAUUCAUCUAAAGUGAAUUGUUGGCUUAAAAACGUUGUUUUGAUUGCAAUAUUUUCGUUGCUUUCAAUAUACAAACUGAAAAUGACCUUACCAUAAUUUCGGCAAAACUAUACGGCGGUAGCCUAUAACUACACGUCACGAAGUGCGUCCGGCCUGUUUGAUUUAGUUCCGAAUUUAUUAUUAUUCAUUUUUCACUACACGGUUUUUGUUGUUUUCGUCGGAUCUGAAUCUAUUAACAUAAUAAUAUAAUAUUAUAAAUGAAAACCGUUCUGCCACCUUAUCGACUUUGUGCGUCCACCAUUAAAAUAAUAAUACAAUAUAGAGGAAUCUAUUUGUCGUUGUUCGUAUAUGUACCUCGAGUAGGUAUCCAUUUUGCGGCGUGCGUACGACAUACUGUUAACCGUUUCGUGAAAGCAGAAAUGAAAACUUUUGCAAAAGUACAAAAUGCCAAACGCACUCGAACGACGACGACGACGACGGCGACGACGACGACAAGGAUGGUACCUCUCCAAUGGUCUCUGCAGUGCUUUGACGUGUCAUAAUGGUCGUUCUAUAAUAAUAUAGUUUCUCACGUCGACGACAGUGGUGGGCAGUUACCGCGGAUGUCUUUGGGGAUAAGUACAACGCUAUAGCGAAUUCGGAUUCGAAAAUUGUAAAAUAUUUUCUACGCGAUUACACCUUAUUCGCCGCAGCAGUACCAGUUUACAUAUUUCUGCUCCUCCCUCCCCCCUGUAGGUGGCGAAAAUGCCGGUAACCCUUCGAAAAUACGUCGGUCUUCAACAGAAACUCCACGGUAAGGAUUUCCGAAAUGCCUACAUUGUUAUGUUACGGAAAUUUCGGACGGGCAUACGCGUUUAAACUUUCGUAAAACCGAAAAAAACCCGUAGACCCGGUUGUAAUGCUUUUUAAAAGCAUUCGAUUAACAAUUAAUGAUGCAGUAUUCCGAAUAGUAAACACAAUGUGUUCGACAAAUUUACAUCAAUAUAGUAUCUAGUUCAUUUCAUAAUCUAUUCAAUAUUUUGCUAAAAUUAUUCAGAAAAUUGUAGAAAUACGAUCUAAAAAAAAAAAAAUCAGAUGAAGUUCGGAUGACUUUUACUUAGCAUAAUAGUGCUUGAAGAUGUCCGAAUAAUUUAUUCAGAAAAAUAGUCUGUUCACAACGACUGACGAAGUUGUAGACUUGUAUAGUACAGUUUUCUCAAUACAUUUUACAUUCGUACAUCUUCCAAAUUUAAUUUUAUAGUUUUUUCGGUUUUAAUAUUCACCAAAUCAAAAUAAAAAAAAAAAUAACAAUAAUAAUAAUUGUUGAAAAAAUAUGUGGACACCUUUCCGGAUGGAAGCGGCUCGGCGGAGCAGCGGGCGGUCGGGGUUCACGGGACAAUAAUAUUUUGACGCUAGCGCAUAAUAUUACCGAGAACAGUACCUAUAAUAUUAUAUUGACGCGCGCCAUUUAAUUAGGAAAAACGAACGAUCGGGAAACGCGUGGUCGGGGUAAAUUAACCGCCGGGAAAUUUCGCGUUGAGAAAACAUACGUUUGGGAAAACAAACUCGGCGUACACAACGGUUUCGGGGAAAAACGUACGUCCUGCCGACAAACAGACGAUCGGUUUCGGCGGCGGCGGCGGCGGCGGCGGUCCCUCGUCGAGGUAUUUCGGUCCGGACGAUUUUCCGCGGGAUCCGCCUACCGGGGAGGAGAAAAAAAAAUAAUAAAAAAAAAGAACCACGUUUUCGGUGUACGCGUUUUGUUUCACCACUACCCCGUGAACGUCUCACGCGCACGCGCGGAUUUCGCUCGAUUAUUCAGUUUUUCGGAAAGCCGUACACGCACGUGUAUACAUUAUUGUACGUGUAUAAUGUGUUCGUAGCAAUUAAUUCCGCGGUCGGUCCAAGUAUAUGCGGCUGCGGCGUUGUCCUACACGGUCGACCGUUCGAUUUCAAUUAUAGAUAGACCCCGUCCCCGAACGCCCCGUGUUCCUACGGCCACUGCGGCUACACUUUUCGCAUGGGCGUACUGCCGAUUUUCUCCGCGCGUCCGCCACCGGCCACGGCGCCGCCGGUACCGUAGAUACCAACACGCCGAUUAAUUUAUACCGACUCGUUGGUAUCCGUCCACUUGUGUUUCCGCGGCCCGUGCGCGCGCGUUUCUUCGGAUGUGCGCGCGUGUGCGUAUGCGCUUGCGUUCGUGUGUGUGCGCGCGCGCGCGCGCGAGUUUGUGCGUGCGUGUGCGCGUGUCCGGGCGUACACGUGAGGCCUAACCACAAUAAUAAUAGUCGGCGACGGUUACCGCGAGUGAAUCGCGGUGUACUACAAGGUUCGCUCGAUAACCCCGAGGAUAUUAUUCGCGAUGUAUUAUAGUCGUGCAGUGGUAUACAGUAUUACGCGCGGCGAGGUCGGGCAGCCGCCGCCGCCGCCGCCGCUGCCAGCCGGAUUUGCCGGCGAAUUUAUUGCCGAUAAGUUUGGCCGUGGACCGGGAGCGUUCUUGGCACAAAACAAGAUUCGGCUGCCAGCAAAAGUACAAAAGUUUCAUUAAAGAUAAAGAACCACCCUCUCAAACUUUACACUUCACAGUAAUUACCAUCGAAGCGGAAUUUAUCUACGAAAAUAAUAAAUGAACCCGCGAGAAAUGUACCGCCGCCGGUGUACACUCGCGCCAGUGCCGCGCUGCAGCAGUGUACACAGUAUUGAGGAUUCCUUCGGUAUUCUUUGCACCGGUAACCACCACACCCCCUCCCCCCACCGGUCGUGCUCUUUCUCUGCAUCCGAUCCAGCGCCGUCGUGGCAAUGCCAUCGCCGCGCCGUCCCUAUUUCAAUAUGAAAAUCGUUGCCAAUAUUUGAUCCCCUUCGUCCCGUCACUCGAGGUCGUGUAUACGAAAUAUAUAAUAACGUUGGGAAAUAAACGACUCUAGGUGUAGACGGGUAUACCCACCUCGAAAUUUUAAACGAUACGCGUUGCUAUAUUAUGAGACAUUACACGCUAUUAGGCUUAAGUAGAUUCGGAACGUAAACUUUACCCGUAUACGAUAACCGCAGUGGACGCUCGCAGACGAAUAUAUCGUAAGACUAUGACUCACGACCGCUAAGAGGACGUUAUACCCGCAUCUAUACCGACUCGGUCCAACUACCGGAUAACACGCAAAAACAAUGAUUACGCAGAAUAAGCAAAGCCAGUUUAUUUUCGAUUUUAGAGUAAAAGCACCUAUUGUGAAAUAUAUAGAGAAUAAUAUUUCGGAGGGAAUUUUGUUGGAAUUAUUUUGAAAUAUUAACUAUUAAAAAAGUUACGGUUAUUUAAAAAUGAAAAAAAAAAAAAAAAAAAAGGUUUUGUAUAUUUUAUUUCGGAGCUGUAUAUUUUGAAUAAUAAAAAAAAUACUGUGAAAUUCCCUCCGAAAGUACAGUUCUCGAUAAAUUUUAUAAUAGGCUCUUCUACUCUAAAAUCAAAACUAUGCUAGUUUUACUUGUUCUGCGUAAGUAUUGUUUUUGCAUGCUACCCGAUAUUCGGACCGAGACAUUAGAUGCGGGUAUAACGUCCUCUUAAUAAUAAUAUUCUGACAAAAUGCAGUUUAACAGAAUAAUAGCAUGCAGAUUUUUUCGACGUUUUGAGUAUUACACCAAUACUCUCAAAACCGUAAGAUCAAAUUUGGAAGUCCUCAUAGGUACUGCGUAUUAUAGGAUUCUAAAAACAUGAAGUUAUUGUUAUUAUUAUCAUUUUUUGUUUUGAUUCUAAUUUUUAAAAAAAAAUCUAUCCACGUUAUUAUAUUAGAAUAAUAUCAGAAAGUAUAUGCGUGUCUGCGUGCUAUCCACCGCGAAUGUAUCGCACGCAGAGGUCUUAGAAUUUGCAUACACGUUUAAAACGGACUGUGCACCUCGAAACCCAGAUUUCCGAAAUUGAAUCUCUAAAAGGGCCAAUCGCACGGGAUUUUCAACUAUGUGAUAUGAAAACCGAAUUUUCUUUUUAUCGACUCCUGGGUCAGUUCAGCGUAUGGAAUACAAAAAUUAGUCACACGGAGAUGGGCAGACGCGUUCAAUCGCAAUUAUCUUAUUGAUUUCGGACAUUCGAAAGUUUUUUUUUUUAAUUCUGUUUUUAAAUAUAAGUAUUUUUUACUUCUUCUAUUUUUUUUUCAUAAGCACGUACCGAUUACAGUAUUUUCGAUCUCGAUACUAUUAAACAUUUUAAUACCAUAUUACUUUUGGGAAAUGUACAUAAGACGGUAAUAUAAAUAUUUUAAUUAAUACGCUGUUUCCGAAAAAGAAAAAAGCAAAAACGAAAUUCGUUUGUAGUAAUUUAUACGCGUUUUGAAUAUUAUCAUCUGUCCAAAUUCGUUCAUUUUAGUCUCGGAGCUAAGAGUGACAAUAAUAACACUAUGUACUCUUAAUAUUAUCGUGUAAUUUACAUACAUCUCGAAACUUUCUACAGAUUUCCCAGAGGAAUAUGAAUAAUUUUCGCGACGGUAAUAUUCAUAAUAUAUGGGUAUUAUAAUAUCGUUAUACUAUUGCUUUAUGACGGAAAAUCAAAUAGAUAUUUUAUAUUCCCCGGCAGUAGUGUGGCUCGUGAAUAGGAAAUCAUUAUAAUAAUAGGCAUACGUGAUGUAAUUUAUUAAUAAUUAUUUUACGUCGAAUUUUAAUCAGUGUAUUCGGUUUUUUCCCAAGAAGACUAUAACUUUACGUUUUCGAUAGUUUCGAUCAUUCGUGUGACAGUCGUGACAUUAUUUCGAAACGUAUUAAUUUUAAUUCUACGUGUAUUUUUUUUUUUUUAGAAAAUUUAAUAAACAAGCGACCAUAAAAUUUUACAAUAACGAAAUUCUGUAUCGCCUUUACUUUCGAGGGCGAAACAGCUACCCACUUCUGAUGUUCGAUUCGGAUGCCGUUGCACCGUGCCGACAUACACAAAUGAUACUGCUCGACUACUCUUCCCCUACCGUCAAAACACGAAACUAAAAAGUGAAAUAUCAAUGUUACACCGAAAUUAAUUUAAAUAGUGCUGCUUGUUCAUUCGGUUUUCUAAUAAGACGAAGUUUAAAAUGUAAUCAUUUCCAAGUGAAUCGAGCACACGAAAUCACAAUUUUCGUAGUUAUUAUAGAGCAUAUUACUGUCUAUAAUAAAUAUGAAUAUUAUUUGCACGCUGAUUAAAAAUUAGUAUAAAUACCGACACGUUAUAACAAUUUUUGCGUUGAAUGUUAUCCGCACUUUUUGACAUUUAAUACGAACAAUAAUUUAUGUAAAAAAUGAAAAAAAAAAUAGUAAUAAUAAUUCGAGUUUAUCGGUAUUUGAAACGUCAACAUUUGCGUGUGUCCAAUUCACACGCGAACUAUUCAUCAUUUGUCAUUUGUCAUUUUUUUUUUUUUUUUUUUGUUUCAAGAUUAUGUCCCACGCACAUAUAAAAAAUAUAUUUGUUUAAUUUUUUUUUUUUCGUAUACCGAAUAUACAAAUAAAACAAAAAAUCGUAUAAUAUAAAAAAAAAAGUAAUAAUAAUAAUCAUAUACACAUACCAGAUAUUCAAAUUUAACCGCAUAUAUAUUGUUAUUCUUGAUUCGUUAUUGAUAACGAACAUUUUGUGGGGAAAAAAUUAGGUUAUACCAUAUGUACUUAAAGUCGUAAUAGAAAAGCCGAGUUUAUAUUUUCAAAAUCGUGUUCCGUUUGGUUUUACAACGAUGUUCAGUUUAUUUAAAAGAUGUUUCUAAAAUUAAAAAAAAAUAUAUGCAUUAUUAGAACUGAUCUAAACAAUCGCUAGGUAUCGGAAAAAUGUUAAAAUGAUCGUCAUAAAGUUAUCAGCGAAAUCAUAAUAGUCACUUCACGAAUAGAUCCAACACAUUUGUCGGUAACCCGUUGGGAAUUGCUGGAUUACUCCGCGAAUCACCGUUUUCGGCUGAAAUAUGGUGUAACAAAUUCGUGUUUAUAUUUUAUUCGUAUUUUAUAAAGAUAUUUUUUGUUUUUUACAUAAUUUAUUUUUUUGAUUGUAAAAACUGAAAAAACUACUAUACCGUUGUAAAACAAUAGACUUUCUCGUCCGUUCACUUUUUAAAAUCAUUAACACCUAUUUAUAAUCCUAUAAUACGAGUAUAAAUAGAAUUAACUGUAAUCCUAUUAUUUUAACCGUAUUUUUAUCAAAUAGAAAAAAAAAAUACGUACAUAAUAAAAUUGUGCUGUGAGUACCACCUAUUAGCAGCGAUUCACGUGUAAAACUAAUUUUUUAUAUAUAUUUAUAUAAAAAUAGUUUAAUCGAUUAAACAACGAUAAUGUAUACGAGCUUUAAUUUGUUGAAAUAUGAUUUAUAUUAUUUUUUUUCAAAUUAACUCUCUCUUUCAACAUCCCGUAUUAAUACGAAAACUAGGAAAGUCAUCCGGUCUGCAUUUCACCGUAAGUAUUAACAAAUAAUAAUAAUAAUAAUAAUAAAUACAAACGAGCAAAGAAAUGUUUAUUCAAAAAAUUAGCAUAAAAUAAUUUUCGGUUCAGGUUCCCGUUAAAAUGAAUAAUUUUUUUCGCGUCAUACGAUUCCACGGUCGUGACGAACGUGACUUCGGCAAUUUUCUGUCUGCACUGUUAUUAUUAUUAGAUAGUGAAACCGCAUUUUUCACCCUCUUAUACGACGAUACGUGUCGGACAAACGAACGAAGUAUUAUUGUAUAGAAUUUCUACUCGAACAGAAAUAUUUCACGCAUCCGAAGUGUGUGAGUACAGUGCAGUGGCGGAUUCGGUGGGCAAAUUGGGGCGAUCGUGGACCCCGUUCUUUCAGAAAACACCCUUAGCCCCGACGUACUCUGAGCUUGAUGAUCACCGUGAACGGGUGUCUUAUAUUAAACAUUUUAAAAAUAUCGUCCCCGCGGUUAUUUUGCCCCUGAUCCGCUGAACCGGAAGAACGGCGUUGUAUUUAAUUUGAAAAAUAAUCGAUGACUAACAAAAGAAAAUAAUAAUUCCGUUAUAUUGAGUGUGUUCAAUAUCUUAUUUUUUUUUUUUUUUUUUUUUUUCAAAUUAUGUUAUAAUCCGAUUAAAAUAUUAUAAAACGCAAUUAUUAUUAACUCACGUGUAACGGCUAACGAAAAAAAAAAAAAUUACAAAUAUAAUUGAUGUUCUCUAUUUCCGAGUUCUUUCGAUUUGAUUUUUUUUUCCGUUAUUUUCCUUGAAAAAAGAAAAAAAAAAAACAACGAAAUCGAUUUAUUUUUCAUUAUUCAGUUCAAACAGUUGGAAACGGUAUUCCGGACUUUCUCUAAUUUUGUGAAAUUUGACAAUUAUUUUAAUAUUAAUUCUAAUCUAUAGGUACUGUCGGCCGAUACCUAUUUUGAGGGGCAGCAGUGCGGCGGCAGUUUUGACGGCGAUAUGACGUGUCAUGUCCGAUUUCGAUUCUUAAAGUAUUAAUACGGGAUUGGUCGUCAAAUUUCCGUCUGUGUUACUUGGGUAGUCGAUUUUUUUACAUGUAUAUAUAUAUAUAUAUCAUUAUAGACACUUUAAUUUCAUUAGUUUCGCCGAGCGGAAAAAUCCAAAAGAAAAUAUUUUUUUUUUUUAUAUAAAUAACGGUAUCCGAGGCACGCGAGUUGCUGCGAGAGAACAAGUAUUGUGCAGACAAUCUAAAAUAAUAAUUCAAUAUCGUUAUCAUUUACCCCGAAUCAUUAGACACACGUACGUUUACAGGUUAUUACUGUAUUGGAUUUUCUAACCAUAUGUACGUCAAUACGUACAAACACACAUACGGAUUUAUGUUCAAUCGAAACACGUUUCUAAUUAAUUUCGGGAUAUCUUGUUUUGCGGAUCGAACAAUACGCUCCGAAUUGUUAUUUUUUCUUUCGUAAAAUCCUUAUAAUUAAGUAGGUAUAUGAUACAACAUUACCUCUUUUCUCUUUCCGUAACACAGGUAUGGGUUGUUUUUUUUUUUUUUUUUUUGAAUUUUUGAAAAUAAUAAUUAAAAAAUAUAUUAUUAAAAAAUUGAGUCCGCUGUUUUACGGCUGGGAAAUUGAAAAACGAUUAUUAGCGGAGUUCGGCAAACUGGUUAGGUUAGAUAACCACUAUAAUAGUCGCAUAUUUCCCCUUUAUAGCCUUUAUAGCGUUUACAACACAGAAAUCAAUAAAAAAAUAAAACCGAUUUACCGUCAUUAAUUAUUAUUGUUCUCCGUUUUUUUUCCCAGUCAUUUAGAAACAACGUAGGUAAAUCCGCGUGUUUUACGGGAAAAUGUUUCCGAGAAUAAAAAAUAGCACACGUCUUAGUAAAAAAAAUUAUAGCUACUUAAUAGAUACACACAGUAUGCAAGUGUAAAUAUAAAUUUUUCAAAAACAGUCGGUUUUCGUCAAAACUGCAUAUUAUGUAGUUAAAUCGGAUUUAAUAUUAUUUUAGAUUUUGAGCAGAAUUUGAAAAAUUGUUUUUACUAUUGUGUAAGAGAUAGGCGCGCUAUUAUUAUUUUUGUUUUUGUAACCAAUCGUAAAAAGUUUUUCAACAAGAAAUCUUCGAACAAACCAAAAUGAAUUUAAUACUUUUCAUUGUAUUUUAGAUCUAAUUGGCGAUUAUAUGAGUAUUUAUUUUUAUAAUAAUCCGGAAAUAAUCGGAUUUCAUUAUUUUCGAUUAUGUUUUUCCAUCAGAAAUCAUACUCCACCAAUAUCAAGAAUAUCGUAUUUUUUGAAAAAAAAUAUUUGUCUUGUUGGUAUAAUUUAUAUGGGACGUAUCUCUUGAUAAUUGGGUAAUAUCAGAAAAACGUUGAAGUAUUAGGGUUUUUCGUGUAAUUCGUGUUAAGAAAUAACCGUAGAGACCUGAAAUUAUCGCAAUACACUAUUAAAAACCUUUUAUAUGGGCGGUAAAAACCGUUGAGCUACGCAGUGGUACAUUCCACAUUUUCUAAAUUUUUUGAAGUUUGACUUGGUUUAAUUUGGAUACCGCGAUUGUUUGGCCGGACAGUGACGCUUUUACAUGAAUUAAACUUAGUGAUAAAAAAAAAAAGUCGACCGAAUAGUAGAAGUAAUUUUUUUUUUUUUUUUUUUUAUAAGCGUUUUGAGAAAAAAUUCUGAUGAAAACCCUAGGAAUAUCGGUAUUUCAAAACAUGUACAUAAUAACCGAAAUUUUGUUCAAUACAAUAACGUAUAAUUUUCUCGUUUUCAUGACGCGUAUUAUCGAGGACGACGACCCCUCUAUGUAUAUAUUUUAAUAUAUAUAUAUAUAUAUAUAUACAUAUAGUUAAUCCUGGCAUGGACGUCUAAUCACAAUAUUUCGCUUCGUAAAAUAUCAUGUCACACCGGAUGCUGCAUUGUAUUUAUUGAUAAACUAAUCGACCGUGAUUAUACCGCGUUUUGUUAUUAUUAUUAUUAUUAUUAUUAUCAACGUAAAUAAAAUAAAUGUUUAGUACGGCUGCAGAGUAAUAUUGUCAAAAUGUUUGUCAAUCCGGCGGCGGUAGCGGCGGCGGGCAGUGACCGUAUUAGACGUCGCAAUGGAAUCCCGCGGAUUUAUAACAAUAAUAAUAACAAUAAUAAUAUUAUUAUCGCUUGUUCGAGGAUCCGAUUUAAAAAAAAAAAGUCCGAAAGGUAGGAGUUGUAUAAUAGCGUAUAAACAUUAUAACUCUACAAACAAUUAACCGUGAAUAACGAAAAACGGUUCUGAGCGAAGUUUGGUUUGAUUUGAAAUUCCGCGAAUUUUACGGAUUCCUUUGAAAUCCCAACUUUAAAUGCGCAUAAAAAACUACUGCAUUACGUUUAACUUUUUGUAGUUUUUUUCACCACUAUAAGUAUGAUCUAUGUUGAAUCUCGUGUAAAACUGUCGAGCUUUUCAGAUCGGCCAAAACAAACAAAACAAACAUUUUGGAUAACUAAAAAAUGUCUUUAAAUACCUAAAUGUAAUUCAAAAAUAGCCAGAACGUAUUAAAUACGUAUUAUACUACUUAGAAUGAUUUCGAUACUUGGUUAUCAUUUAAUAAGGACUACUUAUUGUUUCGAUAUACCUAUCUUACCUUUAUACUUAAUUUUUACUGGAAGGCCGAAUCAAUAAAAUUAAUUUAACUUAUUUUUCCCUUACGACUGUACUACUAAAAUAAAAUUUUGUUUUUCCGGGCACGUCUUGGUCCCACACUCCCUCCCCACGUCACUUCACCUAAGUUUUAAAACCGCUGUCCGUUACAGCCCAUCCCGAAAAAUAAUUUCCAUCUACGCCACUGAUUGUGUUGAAUCACUCGUGCUUAUACGAUUUUUGUUUACAAAAUUAAAUGGCUAUAGUGAUGCGUGACAAAAAUUCAGAUUAUCCGAAAAUUCAAAAAUCCUGAUUUCGGGUUUCGGGAAAUUCAGAUUUAUAUUGUUUUAGUAAUUCCUGUUAUAUUAUAUGUAUUCGUCGCCUAUAAAACAGCGAGUUUCAAUUGCCACCGAGCGUUGGUCGUACGCACAAACAUAUUUAUACAGUACAUAUACGACUGCCCCGCGUAAUUUAUACCGACAGGUGGCGUACCUUCGGGAAGGAGGGCGAAAUAAGAAACCUCCCUUACCACCUUGGUCCGUUUAAUAUAUUGUGCGCAAUUGUUAUUACGCACAUUCCCGUAUUGUAUACUGUUGACGCCCAAUCGUCGCGAUAGGUUUUUUUUUUUUGUCUGACGGCGGCGGUUUUUCGGAUGGUCGACCGGUAAUUAUACGUGGAAUCACGAGUAAUUCCUAUUUUAAUAGGGCACCCGCGUAGGGGACGCGUCCUGCAUGUGGGCGUUAUUAACGUAUAUACGAAAAUCAUUGCAAUAAUACAUUUUUACAAUACAUUGUUUUUUCCCGGGUUUUUUCAUUAAUCGGGAUAAAUCCCGUGAAAAUCAAAACAAAAAAAAAACAACGAACCCAGCCAGAGAAGCGGUAUCGGUGUAAAUCGGAGCGAAAUUGCUGGCAGUAAAGUCGUCCAUGGAAGAAACAAUAAUUAUCAUAUGAAAGCCAACACGUUACCGAGCUCCGCUCAGUAUCUAAAAAAAAAACCUCCGCGUAAAACGAACAAAACCCGGCGCCUACACUUCGCAUGUGAGAUGUUAUUAUUAUGUCGCGCGUUCGCGUUACGAUUUUCAAAGGGGCGGCCUAGCUGGAUGUGGCGGCCGUAUUAAAAAGAGGACGCGCGCAAGAGCGCAGAUUAUAAUAUUAUUAUAGUCGAUGGCGUUUUCAUCGUUUCCGGCAGAUAAAACAAUUAAACCGAUAAAAAUUGAAUUAGUUGGCACACGGCGCACCGUUACAGUCGUUAAUCGCGCGUAUCUCUCGCGGGGUCGCGCGCGCCAGCGACGUACGCGCGAGUACGGGGAAAGAGAGAAACGGCGUAAGAGGGAUCGAAGUGGCGUGUGUGGGGGNNNNNNNNNNNNNNNNNNNNNNNNNNNNNNNNNNNNNNNNNNNNNNNNNNNNNNNNNNNNNNNNNNNNNNNGGGGUGGGGGGAGGGGCGGGAGAGAGCGCGGUAGAUCCUUGGCGCGGGGUUUGCCCUCCGCGAGUGCAUUACAUAAUUUAAUAUAAUAAUAAUAUUAUAAAUCAGCCCGUUCGCGUAAUCCCGUGUGCGACGAGAGGCACGCGGAGACUUUCGGGGGCGCCGCGCGUUUUCGGAGUGAAAUUCGCUCGCUCCCCGCGUUCCCGCGGUACGUUUCCCGCCGAACGUCAGUAAGCCGCCGCCGCUGUCGGAGACAACUUAUGCUCGUAUCACACUUACCUGCGCUGCUGAUGCCGCACGCGAUUUCAGGUGAAUUUUCGUCGGUCUCGGCGUAACGGUUUUUUUUUUUGUUUUCCCACGCGCGUCGCAGGUUUGCGAUUCGGGGGUGGUGGCGAAAAAUGAGUUGACUAGUUUUGGUUGAACGGGUUUUUAUUCUUUGCUCGGAAAGUACAUAAUUUUGUUCGAAACGGCGUCGUCCGUCGUAUCCGUCGAAAAAACUCGAUUUUCGGUUCCGCAGAAUCUUUUUUUACGCGCUUUUCGUCACCUCGCACCUUCGGUCGUCUCGCGGAAUUUCCCUAUCCGUUUACGUCCCACUUUCCGUUGCCUGAGUGAUUUGCAAUUAUGCGUACACUCGUAAUUACGACGAUCAACAAUCAGAUUAUCUGUUUUCGUUUCCGCGCUCAAAGGCGGUCAAAAGGUUACAGGGGGUUUCAACACGUGGGUACGCGUGGUUGUUAUCACCUCGUAGCUUCAUAAAUUUCGACAUAAGAUCAUAUUAAAGCAAUCGGCCGUUAACGCUGCUGCUUUGAGGAUGAUAAUAUUUUCUCUAGAAGACUCAGUCAGUGAAUAAUAAAGUGACAAUUCGCUUACAUUUGACUGUAGUUUUGUUAUGUAAAAUUACAUUUUACAAAUAAGUGCUUAUGAAAUCUGAUUCAAUAAGAAUUCAAAUUUCUUAUCAGCCUUAAUUUCCACUUUGCAUGGCAUAUUGGAAUUUAUAAUUAAAUUAAUCUAUCAAACAAAUACCCUAACAUUUUCAAUUAUGACCUUUUGUGGAAUGAAUUAUCAAUUCCAUUAAUGUUGCUUUCUCGUUCAGUUAAGAUUUUCUACUUUACCCAUUUUGGAGCCAUAAUUAAAGAUCAAACAAAUAUUGGAUCGUAAAUUGUCGUUCAAAUAUUUAUUUAUCAUUAAUAUUAUUACUAAACGACAUUCGACAAUGUAAUCAGUAAUCAUUGUAAUGAAAUAAAAUGUGGGAAUGUGGAAAAUUUGUUAACUACGAUUACAAUUUUUUUUAUGAAACUCAAUUAUUUUUACACGCCAUAAAACGUUAUAGGCUUGGUUAGUUACAGACUCAUUAGUACAUUUAUAAACUGAUCUUCAUGUAACACACCUUUAGUAAGUUAUCCCAUACAUUAACACUAAUAAUUGUUAUUACUAUGUUAUUACUUGUUAUUUAAUUGUUAUUAAAUAUUAUUACUACAGCCUGCAGUGGCCCACGCACAUGGCGAAUUAUGUACGACAUUUUUUUUGUUUUGCUGUAAAUUUAAAAUUGCUGAGUAUUACCAUGUUGUUUUUCCGCGAGUGUAUACCUAACUCAAAAUAUUUAUACUCUUUUUUUUUGUCGAUAACGGAACAGUAGGUAUACAUAAUAUUCCGUAUCGAAUUCACAAACCCCACGAAACGUUUUUGUGCUCGUAUAUACAUAUAUUAUACGCUUGUAUUAAUAUAAUCGAUUCACGUUAUGACCGUUUCCGCCCCCCAACGCGCGUUAAUUAUUACCAGAUUCAUACCAAACCCGGUGAUAAUAACAAUAAUAAUAAUAAAAAAUAAAACACCAAAUACCGCGCGUUUUAGCCGUUUUAUCCGAUACGUUCACGUCGUGAUUUUUUGUUUGCGUUUCUUUUUUUUUUAUGGCCGCGGACGUUUUCUCGGGCACCGUCACGCGUGUUUCUCCCACGGCAGACAGUCGCGGUCCGUUCACUUCCCAACCCACCCCCAUCCCCUCACAGAAUAAAGGUCAGCGUGCCCGGGGAAUACGAAGGUGGGCCGAGAUUGCAUAUAAUUAUUGUUAUUAUUAUAAUAGUGUAACGCCGGGCGGGGCGAGAGAGACGUAGAAAAGGGUUUCGGGAAAAUAGGGAAGCUUCGCAGCAAACCGUGAACCGGAGACGGGACGGUACGGGGCAGUGUACGUAUAGCGCGGGAUCGCGCGUAUAAUGAAUGCAAAUAGCUAAACCGUGCGGUAUACCGGAGAUAGUAGUGUUAGCUACAUUAUACCGUACAACUUACUGUAUAUAUAUAUAUAUAUGUAUAUAUACAAUAUUAUAUAGUCGUGACACUUUACUGUAUAGACCGAUGGUGGGGGGAGGUAGUUGUAGGGAGGGAGGGAAAAAAGGACCGUGAAAUAUAUACCGCGACCACGGAAAAGGGUUAGCCCCUUCGCGCGCGCGUGAUAACGUCGAACGUGACUAUGGCUUUUACAGAAAAAAAAAAAAAAAAACCACGCAAUAAUAUUCUCGCGAGAACUAUUUCCCGAUUCACCGCACCGGUGUCGCGUCGUAACUGUUAUUAGCGAUCUGCAGAGGCCGAUGACGACCGUCUGCGAAUGUAACUUAUUAAGGUGACCCGAAAAAAAACCUAUUUUCGAUGUUCGAUGAAUUUGUAGCCCCCACACCCGUUUUUUAAGUGUUUUUUAAGUAUAACGCAAUAUUUUUUUAGUUCCAGAAAUUUAUUUACAUUUUCGAUUAUUCAUGUCUAUACUAAUUCAUUUUCCGUCUUAGUUUAUCUAUAAUCGUCUAUAUUGGAAACGUUUAAAAGACAUUCUGUGAGUUUCGAGUAUUUCAAACUGCUAUUUUAUGAUUUUAAGUGGUUCGUGUGUUUUUUUUUUUAAGUUCUGUUAGUACGUUGCAUAUUAAGCCUAUGACGAGACUUCUGUAUGGUUUACUUAUCGCUGUAGUGCUGUUAAACUGGUACCGCGAGCUACCAUUCAAGUUUUCGAAUGACUUCAAGCUCUAGCACGGUUUUAGAAAAAAUCACUAAUAAAAACAUAUUAAUCAAACAGUUAGUAUACUAAUUGUUUAUAAAUUGUGUAAAUUUUUUAAUGGCGAUGUGUACGCGGUAUAUGAUUUAAUUAGCGAUGAUGUAAACUUCAAACUUAUGUAACUGGUGGCGUGUUGACACGUUUACCAACCAUCAGAUUUUUAACGAUCCUUGAAAAUUGUUUAACUAUGGGUAUUUCUGGAAAUAAUUAUAACAAUAUUAAUUAUUUUUCUGUUUAUUUUUUUACUACAACGGUAUUAUAUUUCUAAAACUGUUCUCGAAAUACGUUUUUGUCUCCAUCAUCACGACCACUAGAAAAAUAAUAAAUACUAUAUCGCAGUAUGAUUAAAUAAAUCAUACCCGUGUCGGUCACCGCUCCUCACAACCGCGUAUCAACGAAUCCGUAGAUAUCCUAAAAUAUGUUAAAAUUAAUCUAUUCAUUAAAAAUAUACGUGAAAAUCAUAUAUAUACAAAUACAUGCACACGUGCAUACAAACAAACAGCUAAAACCAUAACCCUCCGUUGACGGGUAAUUAAAUACUUUAAAUUUUAAUAGCAAAGAAAUACAAAUUGCAGAUAGGAAAAUAAGAUAGUUUGUCGUUAUACAACUAAAAAUAAACGGUAGUGGCGUGUCUGUCGUGCGGAAUCCGUACACAGAUAAGCUAGUGACGAGUAAUAGUAAAUUACUCCGCACCCGUACCGUAUUCCGUAAAUAUUGUGUACGGCGGGCAAAACAAAAAUCUCGAUUAAUUAACAUUUAUUUGUUAUCUUAUCGCCAUCUAUCGGAAAUUUCAUUUCGCAUCUAUAUUAUUUAACAUAAUCGAUAAUUAUUACGAUAUUAAUACGUUGUAGUUGUAAAUUAAUACGCAGUCAACUCGAGUUGAGUUUUCCAACGUAAAAUUAAACACUUGUAUUGCCAAACAUAAACUAGAGAGCUGAGAAUUUAACGCUCUAUAUAAAACGCUAUAUAAUGACGUUAAAAAAUAAAAAAAUACUUUGAUAACUAAUUGGAAAAAAAAAAAAAAUACAAAUGCAUUUGAAAUUCACUUAAUUAAACCUCGUGUUUAUUUAUUUUUGUUUUUUAUAUUUUAUAAUUGUUUUGUUUAUAACAUAGAUAAAUAGAAUAUUAAACUGGUAUUCGAAUGUUUCGUUUGUAAUUGUAACGCUAAAACUGUGUUGUCAGUUUCAAAUUCAUAAUUAUCAUUAUUACAUAUUGAAAUACUGAAAUUAAAAAAAAAAAAAAAAAAAAAAAAAAACAAAUUAAAUUAUUCAAUAAAACAUUUGAUCGGAUGAUAUGUUUAAUUGGUAUCUAAUGGGGAUAAAUCGCAUAUACUACACGCAGACACACGCCGAUUCUAUUAAUUCAUUCGAAUUAUCCGAAACAACGAUGUAAAAGCCAGUCGGUGAACAAUCGUAUACACUAUCCAUAAUCGACAGUGAUAUUAUGUUAAGUGUGUAGGUAUUUUUAUUUUAAUUUUAAAUACACUAACCAUCACAGUGGUCUAUUGCCCUCGACACGGUAUUAAAUAUUGUUGUAUCAUAAAAUACUGUUGACUUAUUAUAAGACAUCGCGUAACGUCUCACGUCCGAUAACGGAUACACGAACAAAAUAAUAACGUUGCACAGGUAUACGUUCGUUCACGGGUAAAAAGCAAAUUUGUACCUAGUCGUUUAAUGGCAUAAUUACAAUAUACGAGGUCUUACAUAAAUAAUUUAUACGAUACGAUUAUGCUAAUGUACCGCCGUACAGUAAUUAUACUCGCGAAGGAAAUGUUUUUUUUUUUUCUGUUUUUAUCAGUACCUAGUUAAUUGAAGACACACGAAUAUUAUAAAAAAACAAAAAAGUAUAUAUAUUUACACUUAUAAAUAAUAUAAACAAAUCUAGACGCCACCGUUUACACUAUAUAUUAUUAUAAUUAACGUUCCUGUUAUCUAUACCUACUAAAAUAUUACAAUUAUUCGCUUCAAUUUAUUUGUUGUAUUAUUAUAUAGUUAACCUACAAAAAACCGUUUUUUUUUUUUUUUUUAAAUGUCAUGGCAUAGUUACCUAUAUUAUUUUCAACGCAAUUAAAGUUUUUCCCGAGUAAUUACUUUGUUGUUAGGUGUUCAAUAUUUUAUUUAAUGUAAAAUAUUGCGAAACGACAAAGACGCGUUUAUUUAUAUUUACGAACAACAUUGCAUUUACUUACUUGUACCCAGGGUAUUUAAAUAUAAAUGUUUUUUUCUUUUUUCGUUAUUCCGUACAAAAUGACGGUGUCAUACAAACUAUAAUAUUAUGAUGAAUAAUAGAUGAAACAACCGAUGUUCCAUGUGAUAUAAUGCAAAUUGUUUUUUUUUUUUUUUUUUUUUUUUUUAAAACAGCUACAGUUUGAAACUGCAGGAAUAUAAUACAGCGUAACCGUAUUANNUAUUAUAUAGUUAACCUACAAAAAACCGUUUUUUUUUUUUUUUUUUUUUUAAAACAGCUACAGUUUGAAACUGCAGGAAUAUAAUACAGCGUAACCGUAUUAGUUUCGAUGACGUUCGCUUUAAUAUUAAUCGAAAUUUAAAUAAAAACUCGCAUCGAGCAUAUGUGUAUAUAGGUUAGGUGUGUUAACAUGAUAAUUUAUCGUAUUAAAACGUAAAAAAAAAAAAUAAUAAUAAUUCACACAAUUAAAAUUGAUUCGUAAUAUUAUUAUAAUAUUGUUUAUUAUAUUUUGUUAAAAUCGGUAAAUAUAUAAUUAAUUGCAAUACGCAAUAUUAUAUUUGAUUUCAAUUAAAUAUUUCUGGUUUCUAAUAAUUGACACCAUCGCCGGAUAUGUACGACGGACUCGCGAUAAUAUUGUUAACGAAUAUUGAACAAACGGCUAUUAAAAACAAUUUUCAUAGAAUUUUACUCGAACGAUAUGUUUGGUUCCGAAAAGUCUACAUUAUUGUAUAAGCGAGUUACCGACCACACACUGCAUUCUGAUUGGACUACCUGUUAUUUACAAUAUUAUCCACGAACCACCAUUUCGUAUAAACGCCCAUAUAGUACAAUAUAAUGUAAAUUACCGCAAUGUAACGAUUUUGUUAUUGUUUAGGACGUCCCUUGGUCCGAAUGCAUUGGUAGUGCCUAAACGAAAUGAUCCGAACGAUCAAAAUAAUCCUAUAAUGAUUCUUUGUGACCGCCGCAUUGUGUUUAAAUAUUUUAUCCCUGCGGUGUUUAUCGUAUAAAUAAAAAAAUUAAAACGACGGACUUUUCCAGCGGUUCUUGACAUUUGUAUAUUUCGUUAUAAUAUAGUUAAAAUUUAACAUCUGGGUCUAUACUCCCAACACCUCUUUACAUGUAUGAAUCACGAUUAGGUGAUAUGAAAAAUGUAUUCCAAUAUUAAACACGUACGGGGUCUGAUUAAUGAAUUUGCCACCAGUAGGCUGGGGUUGAUUGUUUUAAUUUUUUUUACUUAUCAACAAAUUUCACUGAUACCCUCCCUACCAAUUCUUCCAUACCCUUUCUCCUCCAAAAAAAACGUUUGGCUACCCGUAUGGUCACUGCAAAUAGUUGUGAUACAAGUUUGAAGUUAAUUAAUUUAAAAACAAUGUUUUGUUGUGUCAUCCCCACCAUUUAAGGCUGCAGCCUUUUCAGCCGAUUGGUUAAUCAGGCCUUUUAUUCGCGUGUGUAUAUUAUUAUUAUAAUAUUUUCAAUAAUGCUGUGCGCUAUUUUUUUUGGGUGGAAUUAUACUUUGUACUGUCACGUUAUCAGAAAAAAAUAACGCAGUGAAAUGAAGAAUCCGGUUUUUUUUUUUAUCUAUUUCGUGAGCCUUUCGUAUUCCUCUUGUUUCAGAUUUUUUUUUUUAAUUUUUAAAACAUUUUUUUUUUUUGCGUGUUUUAUUUCGUUGGGGCGACCCACAGGUUAGAAAAAUACGGUCUGUUUAAUACCCAUACUGAUAAGCUGGAAACCAUUGAAAUAAUAAUUAUUAUAUGCAUUUAGAGAAACUUCAAACGGUAUUAAGUCAUAGUAUUUAUUAGAAAAUGUUUACAUCUAAUGUGAAUAUUAUAAUGUUUUAUGGAAUGUAAAGAAAUCUUUGACUACGUAAUAAUUAUUAUUCCUAUUAAAUAAUGUUCGUUUUGAAUUACUCUAUAGAGUGUGAAUUGUAAACUGCUAUAGGCAUUCGAAAUUCGUUCGUAAAACAUUACACGAAAUAACGGUAAUAUUUUCUACUCGAAUAGUUUUUUUAGUUAUUAUUUAUGUAUUUAUUGUAUAUAUAUUAUAUAUAUAUUUUUUUUUUGUACUAUUGUAUACGCCUCAAAUAUCCUUAAAGCUCGGCCAGCCGUGACAACCGAUUGGAAGGUAUUCCCAAAAGUUCCUCGACAAAUACAUUUUAUAUAAAGACGGAGAUCUUGAACUAUAUAUAUAUAUAUAUAUAUAUAUAUAUCGAUUUCGCUAUGGCAGAAAAACUAAUUUGUUUCCUAUAGUAUAUCACAAAAUAGAUUAAAACCUGCAGGAAUUCUAUUAACUCGACACUUUUUUUUUUUUUUGUUAACAAUCCCUCUGCAUUACAGUUUCUAACAAAUGAAUUUAAGAAAAGCUUCAAUAAAUGUAUGUAUAGUACUGUUUUAAUUUACUUUGUAAUGUAGAAAUUCUAUUAUUUAGUUUUUAUAUUUUUGAAAUCGCGAUGAUAGAAUUAUAUUAUUUAUAGAGAAAUAAAAAAAAAAAAAAAAUCCGCUGGUAUAGGAUAUAUCCGUAAUGAAUUUAUCCGUUUCUAUUGUAUAGAUAUUAACAGAAUCAGAACUAUCAUUAUAAUAGAAUCGUAGGUACUUCAGAUAUUAAUUAGUGAAUUAUAUGAAAUAAGAUUCUACCACACGUCUCCACUUCUUUGUUUUCUUUCCUGGAGUUUCUUUGUUCUUACUUUUUUUUUUUCUGAAACACAAUUAAUUAAAAAAAUAAUAAUAUAAUUACGCGUUUAAUCCUAAAAAUAAUAAUGUCCUUUGGCAGGUAGAUUUAUUUUAAAAUGAUAAGGAUGGUUAAAAAAUAAAAAAGAAAAAAAUAAUACCUAUAAAAAUAAACUCAACCAUCUAAAUAUUAAACUAUAUAAGCAUAUAUUUUUAUCGAUUGUUGUAAUUUUAAUCUGAAAAUAAAACCAAAUUAAAAAAUAAUCUUUCGUGCUCUCUAUAUUAUGUAAUAUUGGAACACAAAAAACCUUGGUAAUGUAGUAGGUAUAUUCGACUAUUGUUUUUUGUCAAGAUAUUACGAGCUUACUUUGUUUUACUCGGUAAAAAUUGAAUUUCACGAAUUAAAAAAAAAAAAAAAAACCAAGAUCAUAAAAUAACGCUUCAAAUAAAAUUUAUUGGAAUUUUAAGUUUUGUUUGGUUUUUUCUUUUUGUACCUAUUCUAUUUUUGCAUCUAUUCCAAAUAAUUUUCAAGUUUUUUACCGACCGUUUAAAAUGUUAAAGGAACAUUUUUUUUUUAGUGAGGAGUAGGGAGGGACAAGGACGAAAUAUGUUUAAUAGAUGCAAACUUAAAUAAGUUAAAAUUAUUUAGUGUCCUGUUGCAUUUACUCGUAGUUUCCUGCAAUUAGAGAUAUAAUACACUACUUCAGGUCAAAUGCUAAAUUUGUUUACAAAAAAGUAAAAUAAAAUUUUUUGUUUUACUACUGUUCUAUCUACUAAACGUAUAGUUUGUCAACUAAAAUCAUGGAAUAAAUAUGUUUUGGUGUGUCUGGGUACCCGGACGCUCGUCUAGAUAAUACGAACGCGGACCACAGCAAAUAUGUUAACGAAAAAUAUGUAUCAAUAUGAUACUUUUUCCAAAACAAUAUACAAUAAAUCAAAAAUAUACAAAAAUCAACAAUAAAUUAUAGCUUAUAACUGCCGAGCAAGAAUAUAGUUAAACAAAAUAUUUUAAUACGGUUAAUAUGGAGAGGAUUAAGUCUCUAAGCUUCCCUCCACUACAUACACAUAUGAUAUUUUGUAAUUUUCCUAUACAUAUCAUUGCAGUUACAAUAGAUGAAAUAGGCGCAAGUCUUUUAUCGGGUACCGAACCUAAUUUUUACGCGCAUUGUAUUUGGUCAGACCUCAAUUUCAUUGUAUUGAACCACCCCACGGAGCCUCCGCGUUUGUACGCACGACAUCAAAAUAUAUACUUUAUAUAUUAUAUUAUUAAAAUUAUGAUGGAAAAAAUAAACGGUUAUUUUCAAGUGCAGGGUGUAGGCUUUUAUUUUAGUCCCUUUUCGGUGUAUAGAGUGGAGAGAUUUACGUUAUUAUAUUAUAUUUUUGAAUUUAUUUUUAUUGCGUUAGAAAAAAAAAAAAAAAAAAAAAAAAAAAAAAACAAAAACAAUAAUUCUGAAUGGAAUUGUUAAUAUUACUGCGGGUUUUUCGGGAAUAACACAUUAUACAUUGUGAAUACAUUUAAAAAAAAAAAAAAAAAAAAAAAAAAAAACAAAGAAAAAAAACCUUUUUUGCAAAACAAAUUGCCUAAUGGUACUCACCAAAAAACUAAAUAUAAUACCAUUCGUUUCAUGGCCUACGGUUUAAUCCAUUUAUAUACACAAUAAUAAUAAUUUGACUAUAAGUCGAAAAUAUCGUUCUGAAUUAAUAUCGUCGGGCGGUCGAAAAAAGUGAAUAUACAAAAUGUAAAAUAUUCUAGUAACAGUAUGUAGUAGACGAUUGUAUACAAAUCUUUUGGAAAUUUGAAUUAUCAAUAGCGAGGGUUUAAUAAUAGUUUAUGAAUAUUUUUGACUGGAUAUAAAAUAAAUUUCAAUAAUUGCAAUACGCUUAUGAAAUAAAAAAAAAAAAGGCCGUGUUUAUAAAUAAUUAUCGAUACGUUUACGUUACCAUUGAAUAUUUUACGAGUAACCAUGUGUGUAUCUUGAGUUUUGUCAUCUAUACCUAGCCAUAUCUAUCUAUAUAUAUGUACACCAACCAAAAAGUGUUAAUCAAAUAUUUCAAAUUGCUGUAAAUAUCUCAAAAACGACAUAAUUCUAUAACAACUAUAACAAUAAAAUAAAAUAACGUACACGACGUAAUUGAUAAUAUUUCGGACCCUGGAAAUUUCUUGGCGAUUUCUCGAAAAUUCUUAUUUGAAUGUGAAAUGUUCGUAAUUUCCCAAUGAAAUGAACCUGUGCGUUGUUUCAAUAACCGGGAUACGAAUACCGAUUAUGAAAUUUUAAUUUGCAUCCCAAACACAUAGCAUAUUGCAUUAUCAUACCUACGUAUAUAUUUCGUUCGAUUAUUAUUUUACUUUAGUUAUAUUAGUUCAAAUAAUAUUAUAGUACACAAAUUAUUGAUCUUUUAGUUUAUUCAUCGUGCAAAUAUGCAAAGUAUACUAUUACUUGAAGUAUUACGUUCAUUUUGUUUUUGCCUUUCAAUGUGCAAUUUAUUAGCAACAAACCGCACACGAAACAUUUUAAUAAUAUUAUUACGGGUAUCGGAUUAUAUAAAACAGUUUGAACAAUUAUUUUCCCAAAAUAUCGGGUCGCCCAUUUAAUAUUCGUGUUGUUAUUAGGUAUCCACCGAAAUCUGCAUAUCGUGUUUCGUUACCAGCAACGCAUUGCAGAUAAGUUAAAGUGCACCGCACACAGAAGAGCAUUUAUAUUAACGGAACGGCGGAAAUGUUAAACCUUGUUAAAAAUAUGUCAAAUUCGUUAUCAUUAUUAAUGAACAUAAUACGAAUACGAGACAAUCAGAGGAAAUACGGAAUAAUAUUAAUUGUGUAAUAGAUUGUACUCGUGACACGGUCGUUAAAAUGAAAACGUUGUCCUCGUCGUAGUACCUGAACCGUAUUAUUUGUUUACAUUAAUAUCAAAUUGUUUUGAACGGUAUUUGAUGGAUAUUGAAGUCUUCAACAUCAGUAGCGGUUAGCCUAUAUACGAUCCGGGCGAGUUUAAAAUUUAAUAUUCAACAGCUGAAAAGAGAAGACAAAUAUUACAUUUAAGGUCUUCGACUUUGUCUAUUAUUUACAGCGUUAUAUACGUUAUUUACGAUUUGUAUUUUAUCGAGAUACUUCAUAAUGUUUCGGUGCUGUUAUCUUCGUUGAGGGUUUCUUAUAAUUUAUUAAGUCGUUUCUUAUAUUUUAAUGUUGAUUCUCAGAUGUGUUGGAUGAAUAUAUAUUAUUAUUUUAGUUUAACGAUAUCAUUUCAUCCGAGUGUAGUGGUUCUUUGGUGACAACGACGCGCGAUUUAGUUCAAUCGACGUAUCAUCUUCUUACAGUAACUUUUCGUAGUCAUUUUAAAUGCUUGAGAAUAGGGUUUUAUUCGGGCAAUGAUUUUAUUUUUUUACUAAAUUUUCUCACAUAAAAUAUUUUAAAGGUGUUUGUAUUAUGAUGUUUUAUAAUAAUAUAUAAUUCUCUAUUAAAAAAAAAAAAAAAAAUGAUUUAUAAUGCUUACGGGGGGGUGGGCGAGACCAAUACCCUACUCGAGGUGUUUCUUUCCUGAAACGUCUCCAUCCUUCCCAUUAAAUAUUCGAAAAUACACCCUUGUGCAUGAUGCACGCGCUUUUAAAAGCAUUUAUAAUUCAAUAUAGUAUGCUCGGCACAGGAGGUGCACACAAACCUAUAUUACAUUCCUAACAUCAUACUCCAAAAACUAUCGUUACUCAUUAGUUAAGACGACACGCGUUAUAAACGCGCUUCCCAGAGAACAAUAAUAAACUGAUAAUAUUAUAAUUAUUAUUAUGUUUUCAAUUUAUACAAUAUUAUACGGGAAAAAUAUGGGAAACGCAACGUGUCACACUGAAUAACUCACGCACGGUCAUUAGUAUUGAUACCCGUGAUAGGUGUAUAAUAAUAUGUGAAUAAUUUCAUAUUUCCUCUAUUAAAUUUUUAAAAACAUUAGUGACCGUCUAAUGUUCAAUCAGCGUAGAUAAAACACGCCCUGACUAAUUCAUUAUAAAACGCAGCCAAAAUCGAUCGGCUUAAAAACUUUUUGUACAUCGGUUCCUUAUGUUUAUAAUAUUUGGGACGUGCGAUUCUGUAUCUGAAUUGUACCUUCGAUACUCGUAAUGGUAUCGAAUUUUCGAGAUAAUGUAUGUUAUCGAUUUUGAUAUUUUAUUAUGUUAAAAUGAUAGGGGAUAACGUGAUAAUCAUGUCGUGGUCCUAAUAUAUAUAUGCGAUUAAGUAAAUCAGUAACUUUGAUUUACGUCUUAAUUUUCAUAGUUACUCACCGGCAAAAAAAAUUAUUUUAAAAAUGUAAUAUAUGCAGCGUUAGGGACGGCGAUGGGACGGGGAUAGACGUUUUUAUUUUUUUACUUUUUUUUUCCGUUCCAUACAGGCUGACCGCGGGCAAAGCCGUGAGGGACAGCUAACUAUAAUAGAUUGUGCCCAAUUAUUUUCCGAGAUAAACUUUGAAAUUACUUAAUCGAUUUUCAUAAAAUUUUCGUCAAUCUAUUCACAAAAAUCCGGUGUGUCACAGACUACGAGUAUAUAUAAUUUUUCAAAAUGCCCCGAUAAUGGUUUUUUUUUUUUGGUAAUUUUGGUAUGAAAAUUUAAGUAUUUUUGUUAUUUUAAGAUAUGAUACGUACAUUUCGGAAGGUCGUUUGUUUUAGACUGACCAAACAAGGGGGCAAAACCUGGCUAAUAAUAGUUAGAUUUUUUUUAAAAUAGUAUUAUCUUUGGUAUAAAUAGAAUUCUUAUCAACGGCACUAUAUUAUUAAGAUAUUUUCGGAAUAUUCUUUAGUUGUCACUAACGGCUGCGUAAAAACUGCCUAAAACAUAAACUUGUAAAGCGAUUUUAUUCAUUUUCAUCGAUUUUACCAUAAGAUACGUAAACACGCCAAAGAGUCGUGAAGUUUGGCAGAACUGGAAAAUGAUAUAUUACUAUACGCGUCACCAGUAUUAUAAUAAUAAUAUAUUUUUACAUUUUUUCCUCCCUUCUUUUUAACGCGGUUUUUAUAGUUAAUUUUGAUAAAAAAUAUAUUUUUCUAAAUCAUAAAUUUCAUUUUUCCAAUUCAACUUUAGGAAAGACUGGGGCUGGUUGUCACGAAAGAAUCUGAUUUUUGAUUUUUGAAGAAACCGGGUUAAGAAUUAUAGAUUUUAUGUAUCAUUUAUAUUUUUGUAAAAAAAUUAGGCUUUAUUUUUGUAAAUAAUUAAGAUUCUGAUUUUAAAUAGCUAUUUACAACAAAAAAAUUUAUCGGAGCAGUUUUUGUAACAAUCGACCCAAGUUCUGGGUUUGUUGUCAUGGAUUAUUUGAAUGGGGGAAAAUGUAAAUGUUUAAAUAAGUUUUAUUAAAAAUACAUAAAAGGUAAACAAUUGAAUAUAACAUAAGAGUAUAACAAUACAGACUUCUACCUAGGUCGAUGAAAUUAGAUAUAAACACUUUAGUAGGAAAAUAAGUAUAAAAAAUGAAAUUUAAAAUCUGAUUGCAUAAUAUUCAUAAAAACCAUGCCAACUCACUAGGAAACUAAUGUCAUAUGAUAAUUGAAACUAUGAAAUACUUAUUUAUAUAUCUUCCUAUGAAGCUGAACUGUAUUUGAGUUAUGGGUAGGGAUAGUAGGUUUAUUUCACACUUAAUUCAAAUCCGUUAUCCGAUUUCAUAUCACUUCAAUAAAUCAAAAUCAACAGAACUGAUUAGUCUAAAUUACCAUGUGUUUUGUAUAUGAUAGUAGAGACGACUAAUCGAAUACCCUUAAAAUACUUUAUGUUUAAACAGUUCUGUAACUGUACCAUUAUGAUCGGAGAAAAAAUAAACAAAAUUUGUUUAAAAUCCUUCACUGAAAAUGCUGGAUAGUGAUAAAAGAAAAUCCACUCUGUAUAGUUAUUAUAAUAAUUGUACUCCAAAGAAACAAAUAAUAUUAUUAUCAUUGGCAAUCAAAUUCGAAGUAUAGAACAAAACAGAAGUUCCCUAUAAAUAAUACUUUAUUAUAAUAUAAUAUUAAACAGGUAGGUAUAGAAAUUUACAAUGUGUAAAUAAUAUUGUAUUCCAGAAAUAAGUUCUCUUUAUUAAUAUAAAAUUAAAUAAAUUUUCAAUGCGAUUUUAAUAAUAAUUAUGAUGCAACGUAUAUAAUACUUGUACAUCAGUAUUUUAUUUAAUUAUACAUCCACGAUUUCUGAAAUUGAAUGCGUAUAAUUAAUGAAAUAUUAUAUCGACGGAAUAUCAAAAAGGUUUAAAUGAGAUUUCUACUGCAGAAGCACGUAAUUUUCUUCAAUUGUCAAUUUCAAUGAUAAUAAUUAUAAUUAGUUUUUUAUAAUAUAAAAUGCCCAGUGAAUAAAAAUCCAGAUGAAAAAACACAGUUAAUUAAUAAAUUGAAUGUGAGAGUGUAAUGGAUCAUCAUUUGUGUGGCGGUGCCGCACACUACGUUUGAGUAGUGCUCCUCUACAACGAUUCCCUUAUAAAACGACAAACCUAAAACGGAAAUACGCCCUCGGUUGAUAGAAAUUGAAAUUCGGAAUACCACCAUGUAUUUAAACUAGAUAUGUAUGGUAAUUUUGACUUAGAUUCCUAUUAAAAGAAUCAAAAUUUAAUAGUGGUUUUAUCCUCCAAAAAUAAGGUGGUUGAACAAAAAGAACUCAAGAGUAACAUUUAAGAGUUGUUUAUUGCUUCUGAAAAUUUUUUCAAAAUACAAAUUCCAAAAAACUCCUUCCAGAAUAACAAGUAUCCAAUGUUUUGUCAAUCAGUCCAUAUACUAUGAGGGAAUCGAUUACGAUUUUAGGGAGAGAAGCUGCCUCAAUGAAUAAGGUCAUAUACAUUUUUACCAAUUUCUAAUCGCCAAAUUAUAAUAAUUUGUCAUAUCGCCUGCUGCAAAGAAAAAAGGUCUUAUCUUUCGACUUAUAAUCUUUAAAAUCUUUUUGAAAGAAUACGACCUUUUCCACGAGCGGUUUCGUUAAAAAAAACAGAGACCUCUUAAAGAUCCGUAUCGGCCUGAAUCGAGAAACGACCCGUUUCGCUACAGCAAACGAUACGAAACACUUAAAAUGUUUAAAGUAUCAUACACCAUGUAUGCAGUGCGGCUGUUUGUACGGCGACGAAAUGUAGCCGUGGCGCUCGUGUCUAAAGACCGAAAAAGCGUCGGUGACAACAUCAACGGGAUACAAUUAGUAUUAUAGUGUUAUUCUAUCGUAUAGUAGACACGGCAGAUAUAAUAAUACGCGUUGUGAUGCGGUAUAAUGACAACCGAUGACGGCGGUGUGUGACGAACUCUAUUUUGAUUUGUUUAUUUUUUUUUUUUUUCCAAUAUACGCGGCCUUUCUUUCGCGUUGACGAUGAACGAAAAUUUACUGUCGAUUUCCGCGUUUUUCCGUUUGAAUAUAAUCGGGUAAAAUUUCGCGUGGUAAAGACAAUAUUAAUAUUAUUGUACAAUAUUAUAUAAUAUUAAUAUUAUGCAAUACGAUUGUUGCAGUUUAUAUGUACGAAGAUUUGAUUCAGCCAUUUGAAUUGUGUGACAACGAUCGUCGAAAAGCGUUAAAAUUGACAUCAUCGGCUUUUGUGACGUUUUACAAGCGCAUCUGAUUCUAUUGAUUGCCCUACAGAACUCUGCGUUAUGAUGUAAUUUUUAUUUUUUAAGCGAUGUCGCAAUGGAACGAAAAAAGGAACAACUUGACGGACUUUUUAAAAAAGCUGCAUAGGAUUUGACUUUCAUAUUUUUGAUUAUUACCACUGUUAAAUUUCAAAAAGUUUUUGUUAAUAUUUGCCACACUAGACAAUUACUGACAAAUCUGUACUUGGAUUUAAUUUUGACCCUUCAUAUUUCCUUAAAAUUCUCGGGACAUCUACAGUUUUUCAGGUAUAAUUUAAUUUUUACAUAAUCCAUAUUAAAUUGUGCAUUUCUCUAUCAACCAUUAUUAUAUCAUCAUAAAAAAGAAAAAAUAUUCACCAACCCACUUUCCAACGAAAUGCUCAUAUUUUAUGUUCAUUAAAAAAAUCGCCAAUUACACGGAAAAUAUAAUUUUCAAAAACAGCGGUCACAUCAAUACGAACAGUAUUAUAGACGAUCUACAAAACCAGAUGUACUCAAGAAAAAUUAUAGAACUCAGUGAUAUCAAUAUUAUAGUUCUUCGAAGCGCAGUCGAUACGUAAUUAAAACAGUCCCGGAAUAUUUUGGUGACAACUUGUAUGAUAAAUAAUUGAAUCUAGAUAUCUAGAUAUAAUAAUUUAGGUUAUAAAAUAUUUGUUUACACAGCAUAUUGCGGUAUUUUUAUAUCUUGGUGUAUUAUUCUGCUACCAAUUUACAAAAAAAAAAAAAAAAACUGUAAACGGGUAGAAAAUAAAUGACAGGUAUUUUUGUCAAUAACAAAAAUUUAGAAAACACGUUAUACUUACUAUUACCUCGAUUUUCCUUUAUGCAAUUAUAUUAAUUGGGUACUACCGUUCGAAAGUACACUGGGUAAACAGUUUCUCGAGCGUAUACCAUAAUAUUAUUAAUGUACUUAACGAAAAACGACGUUUUGUCACAUUAAAUUGCCUGCGGUUAACUUUAUUUUCCAAUUAUUUUUACAAUGUGUAAAUUAGGCGAAAACCAUAGAAUUCUAUUGGUAAAAUUUUUUGUUGUUGUAAAAUAUAUAAUUUUAUGGUUCUACAACACAACGUUUACGAAUACCAGGAUUGAGUAGAAACCUGGAAUGAACUAAUCUUGAUAGAAGUAUAAAUCUGGACCAUGAAGUUCUGGAAACUCCGGAUUGGUACACUACACGAUUUUACUAUUAUUGAAAUCUAAACCAUACAAUCCGGAAAAGUAAAAUAUUUGAAAUUUAACGAAAUUAUACAAUCAUCUGACUAUAAGUUUGAGUACUCAGUGACCUAUGUGGUUUUGAAUUAAUAAUAUAUCGGUAAAUCGCUGUAAUGUAAUUUAUUCAUUCUACUAUGAUGUUUAAUUUUUUUCUUUGUCUACGUGGAAAUUGUCUACCAGAAUUAUUUCAUAAACCAAAAAAACGUAUAAGAACUCGUUUGUAGCAUUCUGGAAUUUUAAUUGAUAUAUUCAGAUGGUAAUUUGUUUUUUAUCUUUGUAGAUUUUCCUUGAUCUUUCCUUGAUUAUGAGAAACACCCAAAACAAAAAACGGUAAAUUUACGUAAUAAUGUUAUUGAGGAUUUUAUUUUUUUUGUUCAAAUCUAUUAUAAAUAUUCGUAGAAAAUUAAAGUUUCCCCAGAAUGCAUAUUUAAUUUUUUAAUAAAUAAGCUUUUUCUUGGCAAGGCAAAAAGACGGAGGUGACUUUCUGGAUUCAAUAUUUUUAUUUUGUUACAACACAAUAUCAUAUUGAUUAUUUGGAAUAAAAAAAUUAAAAUUUACUUUUAUAUCUCAAACCUAAUCCAUCAUAUUAUACACCUGUUAAUUGUUAUUAUUAUUUAAUAUUAAUAUUUUUGUUUCGUAUAACUUUAUGUUUUUCGAGUGUCUGAGCAUACAGUGAAAUACAUUAGUUUUACUAUGAUGUGUGUUUUUUUAUACUAUAGAUCUUGAGCGUAAUAAUGAACGAAUUGAUUUUAUUAUUGUGUGUAAAAGUGAAAUCAACCAUAACUGCUAUUAGAAUAAUCUUAAUCUAACAUAAUAUUAUAUUCUUUAUAGUGUUGUAUAAUGCUAUAUUUUAUAUGCGUGUAGACGUAUAUAUAUAUUUAAACAGGUUAGCCCGAAGGGUUAUCUUUAUGCUAAUAAUUCUGUCAAUAUUCAUAUUUUUCAUUUUUUUUUCAAUCAGGUUUUGUGCGAGGGAACACAUGUGUAGAGAAUAAUUGUACUUUUAAUUUCAUCCCUUAAUUAUUGUAAGAAAAUUAUUUUUAUUUUAUUACAUUUCAAAAUAUUUAAAAUCGCUAUUUUGUAAAAGAUUUCAAACUUAAAAUUUUAAUGUAACCUAUAUUCAUAUCCGGUCAAUUAUUUUUUAAUAAAAGUAGUUUUAAUUUCUAGGAAAUUGGAGUGAAAACGAUUAAUUUCAGUAGAAUAACACGUAAUUGUGAUAAGGAAUCACAAUCAACACGGUAAUUCUUUGUCUUCUGUUGAAAAUUUAUUUUCUACAUAUGUGUCCCCCUCACACAAAGCCCGAUUGAAAAAAGAGAUGAAUAAUGAACUAAGAGAGUUAUUAUUUAUUAUUUUAUUAAUUAUUAAUUAUCAAAUUUUGGAUUCUGUGUGGAACGAGGAAUAUAUUGAUUUUACAUAGUUUUUUUUUUUUUUUGUGAACACUUUUUCUACCUAAAAGCAUAUUCCGAUUAUCGAGUAUAGCUCGUAUUUUAAAGGAAAUAUUUUCUGGGUGGUACUUUAAUGAGGCAUUUUUUUGAAAUUAUUAUUAACAUUUGAGAUAGUGAUAAAAACCUUGAUCUAUGGGUUAAAAAAGUUUGAAAGAUUAAAAUUAUGGUUGUCAAUUUAUUUAUUUUUUGUUAUUAUUAAGUUUUUAUUUUUUUAAUCUUUUUUAAACAAUCAUUCUUGUCAUAGAAACGCACAUUGUUGCAAUCAUUUUACCAAAAUAUUAUGCCAUAAAUAUAUUGUUGACAAAGCAACACCAUCAGCUGAUUUCUGUUCAGGGUCAUUUUAUCAUUAUUAAUUGUUUAUCGUUGCUCACAGAUAUACAUUAAAUUCCCGUCUGUAUACUACCUUCCCUACUUUCCAUCUACAAUAGUGGCUGCACCCACGUACAAAAUAUGUUAAUUUUUUUUUUUAAUAUCAGUGUUUAUAAAAUUAAUAUUUUUGAUGUGAAUUUUUUUUUUUCAGGUAAGAAUUCAUACCUACAGUUUAAUAUUAUAAUAAUUAUCAUUAAGACUAGGACAACUGCUUGUUAUCAUCGUCAACGAGUAAGUGUCAUUUUAAAGAAUUUUAUCGUAUUAUUUAUAGGUGUUCUAGUAAUUUAUUUACUAUAGAAUAUGUGGGCAUGCAAUGUUAUUGGUAAGGUUAGGUACACUUGCAAUAAUUUAUUGUAAGUUCGUAAAACGCGAUAAGAACAAAAACACGUUUCCCUCGACGCUGUUUUCUUUAUUGCCAUAAUAUUAAAACCUAUUGAAAUUGUCAGGUUUAUUAAAAUUUUAAUAUCAAGUUUGAAACUCCGACGAAAGUUUGCUUUUAAUAUGCCACCGCGCACGGUUGUUAGUUUAUCAUUAUUUAUGUGCGAACAAUUUACGCGUUUUCUCGUUAAAUUUAAAAUCAAUAACCCUGCCACUGAAUAUUAUAAUUUCGUAUCAGUUAUAACAAUUAUUAUCAUAUCGAAGACUGGAGGGUUGUUAGUGAAGUAAUAGAUUCUAUUUAAUUACAAGUAAGUUAUAUGCCCGUCAUACAUGAUGGGUUAUAACGGCCAUUGAAAAGUUUAAAAUAGUUAGUUAAAAUCCAAAUACUAAAAAUCUUUAUGACGAACAAUUUUUUUAGACAUGAAAUUUAAUUUGACAAAAGUUUAAUUUCGUCGUUAAAAUUAAAACAAUAAUUAAUGCGUACAAAAACUACGCACUGACUUAAAUAUAGUCUAAAAUAUAAAUGCUAUAUAAAUGAUUAAAGAUCAAGUGACAAUAGUUUACUUUACGUCAAUUGCACUCUUCCGAUAAAAGUCGACUGAAAUGAUCAAUACAUUUUUGUUGUUCAUUUAAUGUGUAAGAAACUGUGGACACUAUAACACUAAGUUUCGCUGCAGUCAUAAUUGUUACAAAGAAUAAAUUAUAAAUGUGUGGUACUUAGAUACGUGGGUUCAUCUACUAUUAUUUGUCAAAGAGGAUGUCAUACCCUUAUAUCUUACUAACAUCAGAAAAUGACGUUAUUAAUGCUGAGUCGCAUAAAAAUCAUUCCGUUAAUGUUUAACGAAUAAUUAACUAAUGGCUAAUUAAAUAUUUAAUGGUUCAGUAAAUCACUGAUUAGUUUCAAAAAAAAUGUACAAACUAUUCAAGGAGAACAAGUAAAUUUUUAAGGAUCAUUUAUGCAAUCCAGUAAUAUAACAUUCAUUUUUCCGUUUUUAUUGAAAUUUUAGAUAUAAAAAACAACUAACAUACCUGUAACUUUUUUCUCUAAGAAAAAAUCUACAAUUAAGACUAGCUCUCGAACAUAAUAUUUUCCUCUUAUAAUUUUUAAUUAUUAUUAUUAUUAUUUUAAUUCCCCAAUUUCAAUUCAAAUGUCACAACUAACGUUUUUAGGAUAAGAUAUAAAAAGUUUCAGACAGACGGGUCUGGUAUUUUAUAUUUCUGGCUCACGAUAAAAUGAUGACUUUGUAUUUUUAUUGUUUUUCAUUUUUACCGUUCAAUCAAUAAACUAAUAUUAUUUUAGUAAGUUAAGGAUGAGAUAAGCGAUCCACAAUACAAUAAAUUUAAUAUCUUUAAGAUAGUUGUAGUCAAAUUCCACGAGUUUCUCUAAUUAAAUUUGAAAUUUUGUUUAUAUUUGAAUGACUAGACAUUUUUCACUAAUCUAGUGUUCGGUAGUUUUCGUAUGGAAAGAGACACCUUCGUACAAAUAUGACGUUUUAGACCGAAAAGCCCGUUAAAAAUGUUCACAUUAAGUUUGGUGGAUUUUAAUUUUUAGAACGAUUUUUUAUUGGUUAUUAACGGUAAAGUUGUCUAGGUUACUGCGAAGACGGUUUUAAGUAUCUGUUUUAUUCACCCGUGAUAUUGAAGAUCGAUAUUUAUUUUUAAAUUACAUUUUUUACAUCGCAUAUAAAAUUGCCAUAAUAUUCGAACAGCUUCCGUCAAUAUCUAAUGAAACAUUACAGAAUAAUUAUACAAUUUAAAUCCGUAGGACUAAUACCCAAUAGGUUUUUUCUGUGUUUACCAUUAAAACUCCACGUUCUAUUUUGUUGACGAGAAGCGGAUUGACGUCCGACAUUAUUUAGAUUCAAUUUCGAAAGAAUAAUAAUUUUUAAUGAGACAUUACACGUGCAUUUGUUGUUUCGUCUUACAAACACAAAAUAUAGUAAAAAAAUAAUUACGCAGACUAUACAGAACUUGAUUAGUUUUGGUUUUAGAGUAUAAUCACUUAUAAUGAAAUCAAUAGAGAAUAAUAUUCCGGAGGGCAGAACGUUGUGUUUUUUGAAAAAGUAAUUUUUUUUUUUUAUAAAGUUUUGGCAAAUGAAAAACAUGCUUAAAAUAUCGAUAUUUAUAAAUAGUAGAUUGACCGAUGUAAUCUGAGAAAAUUGGAAAAAAAUCGCAUCGUCUAGCCCUCCGCGAUAUUUUUUUCUUUGCUUUUGUGUUUUUACUCUUAAACCAAAAUUGAGUGAGUACUGUGCAUUCUGCAUGUGUAUGUUUUGACUAUAUCGUGUGUUUGUAAGACGGAAACCACAAAUGCACGUGUACCGUCCUCUUAACAAUUACGGCUCAAAAUCAACGAUAUUCUAAUUAUGCGUGGGCCUAUUGGUUCGGGUCGCGUGGACAAACAUCGUACUCGAGUGUUCUUUCCGUGCCGUCGGACGGAUUCUAAUGUCUCGAGUCUCGAGAUACGCACGACCGUCACCGCUAGAACACGUUACAUCACAGCAAUUCCGCACUCCCGUUUAAAAUGUAAUUUAUUCGGAUCCACGGUACACGAUGAUAAUAUAAUCUAAUAUAGACCCCGGUUAGACAAUCAAUAACUGACGGGCGUUUUAAUUAAACCGAAACGAUACCCGUUACUAAUAUAAUACGUUUGUCUAAUAUAAUUCGACUCGUGCCGUUCGUUUGUUCGCCGAGAAACGUAACGCCAACGCCGCCAUUGUAAUAAUAAGUCACUGUCGCGGUGUAGUCGUAUUACCUAUAUACCGAAAACCGUCGGCCGUAGAAAUAAUUAUGAUUCAUAGCCCCGCGAUUCUUUAUCUCGUUGUGAAUUAUUUAAUUUCGUCGCCGUCCGCCGCCGACGUCGACGGCGCGGGUAAACCGAUUUCAGCACGGGCACAAAUUAUUGGUGGGAGGAGACUAAGGAAAAUCUAUCUUCCCGGGAAGCUUUCAGUCCGUCCGCAAUACUUUUUAAUAUUAAAUCACUCGACAAACAGUCAAAACGUGUACGAGUUUGUUUCCGUCAAUAUUUCGCAAAAUGUACGGAGGGAGUUGUAUCCCCACUAUCGACUGUGAUAGCAGACAAUAAAUAAAGAUAUGCUCAAGUCGGAUCGAAUAUCUCGACUAUUGUUAUGACUACAGAAUGAUUAUUGUUUUAUAAAAAUGGUGAUAAACAUUAAUUUCUUUAACCCGAAAAUAUCAAAAUUUUCACGGAAGAAUAAUUUGUUUUUUUUUUAUUUUACGAUUCAGCAUGAUCGAUGCCUUAUCAUUUAUGAUAGAAAUAUCAGAAACGAAAAAAUCAAAAGUUUCGAAGAAAAUGUACGAAUCAGACCGAAGUAAAAUUGUACUAUUGGUUUUUAACAUUGAAUAAACAAAAUAAUUACUCAUAAAAGUAUAUUUGAUGUGAUAACUAUAACGGGUAGGGCAAACCCCAUUGAUGCCAAGUUGUAUUUUGCCUAUAUGUAUUCUUGACAGUAUCCUUUUACCUUAUGUAGAUAACUGAAAAAAAAAUUUUAUCUAAUUUAAGCAAUCGAAACAUUUAGAUAAAUCCUUUUGAACCAUAAUUUAUUUAAUAAAUAAUUUUAAUUAGAAAUUAUAGUAAAAUAAUUAAUUUAUAUUGAAAUGAUUUAAUAAAUCAUUAUUAUUAUCUGUGAUUUAUUUGUUGGUACAUUUUAAAACCGAUCGCUAUACAAUUACCACAUAGAUGUUACCCAAAUAUUCGUCCAUACCGAUUCAAACAAUUUCUUCACCCUCACCGCUGAUACUGCCACUUAGCUUCCGAGCAUAUUAGAUGGAGCCCGUAAAAUCAUAAACACAAUUGUAAUUGUAAUUGCCAAUGGGAAAUGAAAAAUCUCCGAGUCGAGGGUCGUAGAUAUUCAGUUUAUGGUAAUUUUUCGAGUGUCCCCUCCCGGUGCGUACGGCGUAAACGUUGUCGUCGUCACCGUCUUCAUUGAUGCCGUACAGUGUAAAACUGCCACAGACGUCGCGGUUUAGGUACAUAGAAGUAUAAUAUAUACCUACGUCACGUCGAGAGUCUGUUUGUCUCUCUCCUGUACGUCUCGUUUAGUCACGUCCUCUAACUCGAAACUACGGCGUUUAGUACAUAUAUAUAUGUGUGUGUGUGUGUGCGUGUGUGUGUGUGUGUGUGUAUAUAGAAGGUAACCACGUAUAGGUAGGUGGGUAUAGUAUGUUCGUCUCGGUCCUGCAGCGCCAGUGUAAAUACAACGACUCUCUUUCGCCAGGGUCAUUCGUCGUUCCGCGGGCUGUUGAUACAACAUGCGUUUUUAAUUAAUAUUUGUUCUUGUCCCUCCACCGCGACUCUUUCUCUUCUUUUAAUUUGAUAUACAACUAUGGUUGUACAGUAGUAGAAAUAGUAGUAAGUAGGUAGUAUUUACCCCGGAAGAGCAAAUACUAUGGCAAGACCAUAUAUAUAUAAAGUAAGUCUACCUAGUUCGCUCAAGUUCUUUAUUUAUUUAUAUGUUUUCAGUUGUUUUUUUGCGACUCCGACAAAAUCGUAUUGCCAAUUUCCAAUAAUAAAUAAUAUAUAUAUAUAUAUAGUAUAAAGAGAGAGAAAGAAAGAAAGCGAAAUCAAAGUAAAGGAAGUGUUUGGAGUACAGUAUAUCGAAGAAGAGGUUGUUCUGACACGUGUAGUUGUAGCUGUUUAUUAUAAAGAGCACGCAGUAUACUAUUAACUAAAAGUAACCAACCAGUUAAUAAACGCUGAAUAGUUCACUUGAUUAUCUUCAGUGUUAUCAAUGUCCACAUCGAGCUUAAGUAAAUAGUUAAAUUAUAGUCAAGUUAAUGGUAUUUUUAUUGGCGACUAUUUUCUUUAAAAGUUAAACAAUAAUAGAAUUUCAGAAAGCAACUUAAUUAAUACCUUAUUGAUUUUAUCUUUGAAUUUUUUUGUUUUUUUUUUUUUUUUUGUUUUAAAUGUUUUAGAUUCAGAGCGUAACGAAGAAUAAUAUAUUGAUUUUACGAUGAUAAGUGUUUUUUUUUUUAUGCCUGUAGAAAACUUUCGUACCAGAAAACUUGCAUCAAUAGAAUAAAACGAACGACAAGUGAACUUUUUUGUUGCAUUUUAGAUCUAGUUUGUGAACAAUUAUAUUGUAUUUUUGAUUUUCCGUGUAAUUUUCUUAAUAAUCGAGGAACACCGAGAACAACCUAGUAAGGCCAAACGGAAAAGUUUACGAAAAUAAUGAUUUUAUUUUUUCGAAUUUUUUUUUUGUUGUUGUAAUUUAAUUAAAGGUCAAUUCGAAGGGACUUAAAUUUUUGAUAAAUAAUUUAUACUAGACUUAUAUAAACAUUUUAUUUAUGUGCAUUUUAUAUUUGCGAGAUUUAUACGUUGUUUUUUUUUCGACAUACAUUAUAUUGAUAUAAUGUUUGACCAACUAGAAAAACUUGAAAAUUGAACAGGAGGUUCAUUGUAAAUUUUACUCAGUGCAAAAAAAAAUGCAGUUGUUUUUUUUAUAAAAUAAAUUUGAGUUUAAAUUUUGAUAAAAAUAGUUAAAAAUACAUUUAAAAACAUGUACAACCGAACUUCGCUUAAAAUCGUUUUUCAUUAAAAACUGUACUAUCGUUGAUUGCAGAUAUAAAUUAAAUAACUUUAUGUAUCCUACAUUUAUAAAUUUCACGUACAACAGUGAUGCACCAAUCAGAAUUCUCAUCCAUUUUUAUUAUUGUUGUUUUUUUUUUUUUUAUUAAGACUUUUUACAAGAGAAGAACUUUAUGGUUUGAACUUUUGUUACUGACUGAAUAAUUCACUGAUUAUUAAAAUUCUAAGGUUCUUCUUGUAAUAGCAGAAACGUAUUGUUAAAUUAUAGAAAAAAUAUGAACAUUGCAAUUUUCUUAAUAUAAGUGACGCUUCAUGAAGGACGGUGUUCAAUUCGUGAAAUGACGAGCAUCAAGCAUCAAUUUGUUUAAAAAAAAAAAAAAAACAAUUUUCAUUAAAAUGUUUUGAGUUCAAAUACAAAUUUAGAUUUUUAAUCUACUUUUAUUAUAUUUAUUCUGGUUGAAUUCCAUGCCUUGUACCGGAAACCAGUAAAAUGAUUUCCCCAAUAAAAUUAUAACCGUGGAAAUAUAUCCUGCAAAUUAUAAGCCGUUGUCGUCUCAUAUUGCCUUUGUAUAUAGCUUCACGGUAUUAACAUGCGAGAAAAAAAAACAAAUGUAAAACUGAUUUAUUUUUUAGUUUUAUGUACAUUCGUAUACAGUUAAAUUGUCGGCGCGUUUUGGUGGCUGUGGAGCUAACCAUAAUAUUAUAACCAUACAAAAAUCAGCAUCGCUGUUCGUAUAAAAGCGUAUAGUCUAGUCCCCAGUGAAUGAAAUAAUAGUAAUAAAUGGUCUGCUAUAUAAUCACGUCGCCGGGGCAUAAAUCUAACAUAUCGCGUUUAUAACAUUAUUUCAUCAAAACUAUUUCGUUUAAUUGUUUUUGUUCCGAUGUUCUUACACGCCGGUAAUAAACCCGAGUCAUACACCUAUAUGUUUUGGUUUUCUAUAUGACUUAUGGUGUACACUAAAUAGAGUACGCACAUCCCGCAAUGCAGUCCCCCUUCGCAUGAAUCGGGCACAUCGGACACUCUCGAAAAUGUAACUGUUGUGCAGAAAAGUAGACUGUUAAUCGAACGGCGUUCCGAUGGCACAUUCGCUCCCGACCAGGUACCCAAGACCGACCGGCUGACAACUUAUACCGUAUUUAUCCAAUAAAUUUAGAAACUCUUGCUCCGAUAUCAAUCCACAUAACAAUACGAUGCGAUUUAUUUUAUGUUUCUAUUAAGAUAAUCAACGUUACAUUGUUUCAUAUUGCCCGAUGCAUUUAUCCUAUGAUGUCGUUUUAUUUAAAAUAAUUGUUUUGUUUUCAUUUUAGGUAGUGAAAUUAAGUAUACGAAAAAUAAAUAAAUACACGCGGGUGGUUAAUUUAUCGAAUGCCAAUACAACAUUUUAACUUACAUCGCAUCAGAUUCUGUUGUCCUAUAUAAGUGAAUUCAAACAUGCUAUCAGAUUAUUUUACGACUGCAAUGGCGUAUUUCGAUAUUAUUAUAACAUAUGAAUACAUCCGUAAUACAAAUAACGUUUGUAUUAUAAAUAAUAUUGCAAUAUUAGCAUAAGCUUUAAGUUAACAUUUGAGACGGCGUCGCGAGUAGGCAAUUUUGCAACACUCACGCGAUUUAACAAUGGUCCGCCUGACCUAAAUAUUAUUUUAUUUCACUUAUGAUAAUAUUUUCAUAAUUAUAAUUAUCAUCAUGGUUAAAUAACUAUAUAGGUAUGAGGUGUGUUCACUAGGGGAUGGGUGAGACACUUAUGUCUAUACUCGGAUUUUUUUUUAGUUAUUUUACUCCAUUUUCUGUAAUUAUUGUUUCUUUAAUAUGUAUUGAUAUUUGGAGACGUGAACAAUAAAAGCAAAUUCGUCAUUAAUUUAGAAUUUCGGCCUAGUACUUAUAAUAAUAGACAAAGAUCAACAUUUCUGCAAAAAUCAGACUACAUUUUAUGUGGAGGUAUUAAAAUUCGCAAAAAGUCGGACUAUUAUUUUUAUGGGAAAAAAUUGUUUUAGGAACACUCAUUUUUUGGGAUUUAUAUUUUAUGCGAGUAAGAUUAAAAAUAUUUGUUGAAACUAUAAUUUUAGUACGUUCAAACUAUUUAUUUUUUUUUAUUUGUUAUUUAAAAAUUCUCAAUAUGCUAAAAGAAAUUCCGGUAAUUUGGUCACUAAGUCGAUUAUCAUUUAAUUUUGUUUGUAUUUUAUUUGUUUAUUAGAAUCGAAAAAGUCCAAUCGUUUACUAGAAAACUACACUAUUGCGAAUAUUUAUAAAAUUAUUGGUAUUUCGCCCGUUGCAAAAGUUUUUUUCUUCCUGUAUAGAAAAAAAAUUGUACAUUAAAUAUAUAUAAAUAUAUUUAUUAAUUUUAUUCGCCAAUUUAUAGAAUUUUUGAAUAUACCUAGGUAUAUUAUUUCGAAUUAUGAAAAACAAAAUAAAAUACCGGAAGAUGCGACCAUUAAAAUUGCUGGGAAAAUAUUUCAAUAUGUCGUAGAAUACUCGCUAGAUAUAGUCGAUAAACCAUUAUUAUUAUAAUAUUGAAAAUAUGUUCUACGACAAUAUUCACGGAUAAAAACGCAAUAGGUAUUAAAGAAAAAAUUACCAAAAAGGUUUUAUGACUGUAGACUGUGGUUGCUUAUUCGCUGGUUUUUAUUAAUAUUUUUUAAAUAAGGUCGCGGAAUUAUCGCGUAUUAAGUUAAUUGCAUAUAAUUAAGUAUGAUAGGUAGGUAAACCAAAAAAACAAAAGCUAAUAUUGCUUAUGGGUGUUUCGCUGCUGUAAGAAGGAAGUUUGUAAAGUAAGAUACAUAAAGUAAUUUAAAAUGAAUAAUAGCGACAAACCAUUUCUAACAAAAAAUAAUCUUAAGUAGGGUAUAAUUGUAUUAUCAGUCGUAUUUUUCUUUGGGAUCUAGGUCAGUGGACAAUUUUUUUUUUUUAUUAUUAUUCAAAAAUUGUUUUAUAUAACUUAAAUAUUGUACAGGAUAUAUGAUAAUCAUGGUAUUUUGUGACCCUCAGCAAUCACUAUUCGCUCUUUUGUGGAUCUCAACCCCAAUAUUAAGUUACACGGGUUUCGAGAGAUCAAAAUUAUUUGCUAAUAUUUUAGAUGUUUUAAGAACAAAUAUAAGGUAAAUUAAAAAAAUUAUCGUCUUAACACUCCAAUGAGAUCAAAAAUGGCACAAUUUUUUUUUUUUAAAGUUUUUAUUGGAAAAGAUUUCUCAUAGAAGCAUUGAUUCCAGGUACGAAAAAAAACACGUAUAAUAGUAAAAGCAACAUAUUCCUCGAAUCGUUCGGAAUCUAAGAAAAAAAAAUGUCCACAGUUUUCUUAACAGCCGUAAUGAAUUUUCGUGUAUGAUUUAUGAAUAUCGGUAAUUUAUCAUUGGCUUAAGUAUAUACUAUGUUUAUAGUAAUUGAAAAACGAAAAUUUAAUCAAUUUAACUCUUAUCUCUUCGUAUAAUAUAUUAUUUACAACAUAUAUAUAUAUAUAUAUAUUAGAUGAUCUUGAAAUGUUUUGCUAUUGUUAUUGAUGUGGAUAUUGCGUGAAUAUUAAUAAUUACAGUAGUUUUCUUUUGAUUACUUUAAAAUUUUAGUUACGGCGUAUCAAAGACGCACUGUUUCUCUGUGUGUGCCGUGAUGGCCAGCGUAACUAACAACGCCAGGUAUGAGAAACUUAUGAAACGUAUAAAUAAUCGCCAUUUGAACUAUAACAAACAUUUAAUUUGCAAUAAAAAAUAUUGAAGUCGUUAUAGAGACGAUCUUAUAUUUUAAGUUUGACCAAAUCGCACACGUUGCAUAUUAUUAUUAUCUUAUCGACACCGGCGGAGUAGUCUCCGAGUGCAUCGUACGUAUACUGGUCGUGCGCGUGAUUUAUAUAUAAUAAUUUACACGAACACUAUCAACGUUUAUUAAUCAUGGGCGGGUUAUUUCGAUAAUUACAUUGACCGGCGAAAAAUAUAAUUUAACACUCGAGUUAGCUAAUGUAUAUAUUAUUAUUAUUUUCGAGAAACUUUGUAUACACGGUCGCUGCAUCUCCUUAUUAUUUUUGUAUCAAGUUUCGUGUAUAUAGUUAUAACAUGAUGUUUGAACCCCGAAACCCGCAUCCAUUAGACAAACACUUAUAUAAUAUAUAAACCUGAGAGGUAUUUUAUUAAAUAUGCAUAAGUCCUUAUUUUCUUAUCUCUCUCUCUCUCUCUAUAUAUAUAUAUAUAUAUAUCUUUCUCCCCCCCUCCCCCCUCGUGUGUUCUCUCUCUCUCUCUCACCCUCUCUCUCUACCUCUAUCUCUUUGGCAUUCGCUCAUCCCGUAUUACUUAAAAUAUACGCUUCAUUCACACUCUCUCCAAAUGUCGUCUUGGACCCUAUCAAUUUUCUUCUUAUUGUUAUUAACUUUUUUUUUUUUUUUUUUUUUUUUGUGAAUAGAGUUUAAUAAUGUUAUUCUACUUUUACUCGCGCCGGAUAAAAGAUAAAAGCGUCCGGGCUUCCGGGUUUUGUGUAACUAUAACGUCUACUGGCUUUUGAUGUACAUAAGUAAUAACUACAGCUUGAGCUCCAAGUGUUUAUACAUGUGUUAAAAGAAAAUAAUAAUAAAAAUGAUAUUUAAAAACUGAAAUCAAAUGAUAUAAAAAUAUACAAGUAUGAAGUUAGUUAUAAUUGGAGAUUGAUGUUAGACCCGAAUUAUAAAAAAAUAUAUUAUUAAGAGAAUAACCGUUGGGAAUCGUUUUCUAAUCGUGCAAUUGUUUGGGACAUAUUGUGUUUAAAUUUCGUUUAAUUGAAAUCUAAACGGAUUGUUUUUAUUAAAUUUAGUAAACAUCAUUAUCUGCGCCAUAAUUGUUAAUAAUAAGUACAUUUAGUUUUAACGAUAGGCACUCGAAUUUACUUAAGUAAACUUAAAAAAGUAAUUAAUGCGGGAUGUUUUAAACUUUAUACUAUAACAAUUUUCCAAAAAAUUACCCUUAUACUUAGGUUAUACUAUUAUUAGGUUAGGUUAUACUCGUAUCACCCCGGAUUUUAUUAUACAGGUUCAUCGAUUAAAUUUAGCUAAUAUAUAAAUAUGAAUCUAACAAUUAAUAAUCUUUAUGUUUAUGUAUUAUUUUUCUUUAUUUCUAGGUUUUUUGUUGAUUGCAAUAUAGUUGUGUAAUCUAAAACUGUGUUGAUAAUCGAGUUCCUUUUUUUGUUUUUAAUCAUUUAUCAUAAUUUACGGUAAAAUACUAUAAAUUGUAAAUUACCCAAUAUCAUAAUUUACCAGCAUCCCCCAAAACUCUGAUAUAGUGACGAUGUACCGAUAUAUUGUGACGUAUCCUCGGCAUAUUUUGUUUUUAAUUGCAUUGUGAUAUUAUAUUGUGUGUGUAGGUAUAGUCUAGUUAUAGUCUAAUUCAUUUAACGAGAGUGACCCUGACGACCAUGAUGCGGUGAACUGUUGUACACCGGCACUGUUAUUAUAUACCCAACUACUAUUUGACAUGGGAGAAAACCACAUGGUAUUCUACAGGGUUUUAGCGUAGAUGAACUUACGGUUUGAAACCAUAAUAUGUUUAAACGUCGUUCGGUGACGUUUAAACGAGUGUAGCCAGUAAAAGAUUUGCGAAACCUAUAAUGUAUCAGAUAGAAGAAGUAAUAUACAUCGUAGUAAACCGUUAAUUUUAGAGUAAAUCAUUUAUUAUAUUAAUUAAAGCAGGCCAUUAUUUGCCUAAAUAAAAAAAAAAAAAAAAAAAAAAAUAUCCGGCAAUCCAAAAGUGAUAUCUAGGGGGGAGAAUAAGUACGCUUGUACAAAAAUAAUUUUAUCGCUACCUGAUGGCAAUCACGAGUACAUACAUGUAUAAUAUAUUUACCUGUAUAUUUAAAAGCAUUCGAUAGUAAUGAUUCGUUUCAUAGUACAUUUGCCUGUGAAAAAAGCUUUGAAAAUAUUAAACGUCCACUGUUAAUUUUCUUUGACGCUAUUCCUGUGCAUCUUAGUCCGUGUGUCUGUCUAAUAUUUAAUAAAAACGCAGUCUCCUAUGGUUAAUAGUUCGAUGGAAAUAGUUUUGCCCUCGACGAAUGAAAUGUAUGCGUAUAAUAUUUUAUAUAAAUAAAACCUUACCGGAGUAAAGAGAGGUGGAGGUUUCGUUAUUAUUAUUAUUAUUAUUAUACUUAUUGUCACCGACUCGGUCGAUUUUUAAAAAGACGUGCCUUGCAAACACAACUAUAUAGGUACUAUUUAUAUAUAUAUUUAUAUACGUGGUGGGUACGUCGUUCAGUUUAAUUUGGCGGGAGAGACCCCGACAAAAGGAUCGUUUAAGAAUUUCUUGAUAUUACAACGACCGCGGCGUUCCACCGCGCCCCAGUCGGUAUUGUAUUAUUAUUAUCACGAUCACGAUUAUUGUCUCUCUACGUAAUUGUGUUUACCUCCUGGACCGAAAUCUAGAAAUUCCUCACACCCGUUCCAUCGUUGCCCGGAUCCGCCUUAUACCGAUUAUCCCGGUGCUGCAAAUGUGUUUGUAUUCAGAAACAAAUUCUUCGAUUCGACGGUUUAUCGCCACCGCUAUUAUUACUUAUACCCAGUGUCCGUCGUUGUUUUCGAGGACAAGGAUGAUACCAUCAAUAUAUUAUGUAAUUAUCGAACUUAGAUUACAGUAGUUUUGUGCUGUCCACUAAAAAUUAAAGUCAAUAUAAAUAAAAUUCAGUUUAAUUAGAGCAAUUCACCGUCAUUAGUUUUUGAUUUUGGUUAAAUUUUAUUUUAUCAAAAGUACCGACCGGUAUAGCCCAAUGGUUACCAGUGGCGUACCUAGGUCUCUCUUACGGGAGGGGAGAAGGUGCGAAAUAUAUUUUCGCCCAUUCUUAAAACAUACAAUUUCUUAAAAAUGUACGUCACAUAAACCAAAUCUAAUAUAUCGGGAACUUUAUAUUUGUAAAAUAUUAAAUAGAACAUUUUAGUAAGUACAUAAAAAAGAAAUUGUUGUUUAGUAUAAUAUAAUAUAACACAUGCUAUAAAAUAAUUUUAUAAUAAAUUAUAUUAUAAUACUAAGUCUAACCUCCGGUUUUUCAUACAAGAGAAUCGUUCAAUAAUUUCAUCUACUGGUAUACAUAAUUCUCAGUAUAAUGUGCAACUGUGCAAGCCAGCACAAGCGAUCCUGGCUUAUUUUUGAACGUAGCCGCCAUGUUUUUAGUCUAUAACAUAAGUACAAAGCAAAUAGUAAAGACAAUUAAUUAAAAAUCAGUAGGUAGGUACCACCUAGAUUUAUAAGCCAAUGGAAAUUAUGUAAAUUAAUAAACAAUAAUAUAUUCUGUAAAUAUUUGUCCUUAAAGAACUUUUUUUUUUUAAACUAAGUCACUAGUAUUUUGACCCGAUUAGAGAUAACAAAAAUAUUUUAAAAGAAUCUUGAGCUUGAUUAUGCUAUCAAUUAUCAUAUGUAUUAUUAACGACUUUAUGAAAAAAAAUUAAAAAUAUUUGUAAAGACACUAAAACAAAUAAAAUAUAAUAGUGCACACAUUGUCACAUAUAAUUAUUAUAUAUAUUAUAUAUAAUAUUAUGUUAUUAUAUUAUUAUAUGACCCACAGGGGCGAAUGCCCCCUUUGCCCCCCCCCCCACAAAAAGUACGUCACUGAUGUUUACAUUGUUAUAAAAAGUAUUAAAAUUAACGAUUAAUAAUAAUGGAAGGAACACAAGUUAACUAAAUUUUAGACGAAAAAAGUAGGGUUUGAACAUUGAAAAUCCGUAUCGUUCUUGUGUGGUGCUCAUUAGCAUCAUAUUUUGUUGAAAAUACAUUUGGAUAUAAAAGUUAACGCAUUGAAAGAAGUACAGAGAGUCUAUAAGAACUGAAAGUAAUAACUUGCUUAGAAUAUCUAAAUUUGCUUUGACUUUUUUAUUUACUAGUGACGAGAAUUGUAAGGAAAAAUUUUAAUUUCGUUAUACAAUAUUAUAUCGACACGAUUGAUAAGAAAUUCAUGUUACAUUUAAAAUUUAAAAUCAUAAAACAGUUGUUGGUUUUUUUUUUUUUUGUUAUAUUUUAUUGUCAUUUCUCUUACUGAUUCUGCAGUAUACUAUGUUUAUGCAAUAAAUAGGAUAAUACGUCCCCCCUCCACCCAAUGAUUUUACUUUCUUUUCGAAUGACACUAUGUCUAUAAAUGAAUACAAAACGGUAUUGGAAAAAAAAAUAUAAAAUACACAAUGCAUGUAUUUCAUUUUAAAACAACUAUCUAUUUGUUGAAUUUAGGUACGAAAUAAAAGUUAAGUAAAAAAUGACAAAGUUUACACGAUUCCUCGGUAUUUCCGAUUCGUUUUUAUGUUUAUGUUCAACAGUUCGAUUUGUUUACAAAACUUACUUUUCCGUACAAUACACUUUUCUCCAUCACGUUCUAUUAAAAUUUGACAUACGAGUCUUGUCGCAUUUGCAGGCUACUCUGUUGUUGUUUAAAGUCCUUAAUCGUGUACUUUUUGUUUUAGCUUUUCAUAAUACUGCAGCCAUCGUGGCGUGCAGAUAGUGUAAAUGUAUAGCUCAACAUUUUAUAAUAUUAUCGUCUUAUAUAAAUGGCACUCGUCAGACUACAGUAGGUAUAUACUAUACAUACUAUUAUACAACUUGAGUAUCAUUCAUUUUUUAUUUCACUCCUCCGAGUUUUUUUCGUGCGCUUCCUGAGACAUAAUAAUACCCUAAUGCUUUUAUGAAUCUUAUUUCUCUAAUAAUUUAUUAUUAGUCCCGCUUAAAACACGGUUCCUUUACUUUUUUGUUUUUAUCCCGUGGCAUACGUUUCUUAACGAAAAAAAAAAAAAACAACAGUUCACAUCAUUCAAGUGUAAAAUUAUGUUUUAAAAAUUUCUCUCAGAGCACAUCAAAACUAGAUUUAAGCACAGCAGUGUGACAAAAUAAAAUAUAGGUUUAGGGAGGGGAAAAACUUUUUCGUUACGGUGUCGGAAAAGUUCUCAAAUUAUCUGCCAUAACGUUACUCGGCUUAUUUUCCCGAAAUAUUAUGAGCAACGAAAUUAUUUAAUAAAGUUGUUUUUAAUGCGUUUGAAAAUGUUGAAUAAUGUAAUUUAAAUGUACAAACGUAUAAACUGUUUACGUGGACGCGAUUUUCGAAAUACUUGAAACACGCUAUACACAGUAUAUAUAUAAAAAUACGGAUACAGUACCACCCGAGUUUUUGUAAAACUAUUUCUAAUAAACAAACGCCACCGCCAUGUCGAUUUGAAACUAUUCGAUGAUAAAAACCGAUUCCAACGAGUGGAGUUUUGAUUAAUCGGAAGAAACAUUAUUACGUAUCAUGUUUUAUUAGUAAAUAGUUUCGAUUCAGACAAAUGCAGUGGCGGCGAACUGACAUGGAAAAUAAUCGAGUUCGUAACACUCGUAACGUUUCGAAAAAAAAAGAUAGGUACUGUUGACAGGUGUGCCACAGUUGUAAGUAGUGUAGGAUACAUAAAGUUUUUUAAUCUUUUUCUGUGUACUCAAAGAAAAAUUAUUGAUUAAGAAAAACUAAUUUCUCAAAGGUCAAAACAAUUUUAUCCACACAAAAUCAAAUAAAAACUAAAAACAAACAUAAAUUUAAAAUGUCUAUAAAUAGCCUGAAAAUAGUUUGAUUAUUUUAAAUAUUUGACCACACUUAGAAAAGAAUAAUACAAACACUCUGUACAAAUUGUAAUGUUUCUACUAUUAUUUCAUCCAAAUCAAAAGUAAAAUUAAAUACUAAACCGAUCUGAUUUUAGUAUCAGUUUCCGACUGAAAUUCCAUCAAUAUAUUUAGGACUAAAUAAAUAUGUAGCUGAGUGUUGUAAAAUUUGGCGUUAUAUGUACGAUAAAAACUUUCAAAUUCAUUAAUUUGAAAACGUCGUCGCUGCCGUUAUUGCCGCUCCCAUGAUGAGUCAUUAUGCAGGAAUCGUUAAAUUAAUCCUGCAGAAGUUUACGUCAAGUUUUACACAAUGAUCUUAACUAUCAGAACAUACAGUUGACGUGAGAUCUUGAAAAACUAAAAGAAAAAAAUUUUAACAGAAAUUGCUUUUGGAAAUGAUACAAUAUGAUGAUGUGUAGUGGAAAACCUACAAAAGAAAUAUAACUAUUGAACUAUAGAAGAGUGUGAAAAGAUGGCGGUCGUCUCGAGGAAAUUGUUGCUCAAACAAUUUGAAUGGCACGUUAUAUAGUACGAGUAUAUACCAAAUUCAUACAGUAUUGUAGUAAAUGAAGUAUUGGUUUCCAUUUUUUUUUUUUUUAAAUUUUAUAAUCGGACUAUGAAAAUCGGAAGUUUGACGGUUAGUAUACUUCAUUUUUUAUUAAUUUGUUUGGUCUAAAUAGGUCAGCGUCUAAGUGAAACCAACGAACCGCGGCUAAACUUUUAAAAUACGUAUAAUAAUAUAUUAUUACGACUAUAACGUUCACAGUCCGAAAGAGAUCGAAAUCGAUUAUUACAAUACGGUAGGUAUUAUUGCACUGGUGUACGUCUGCGGCACGAGAAUAAUACCGUUAAAAAUAGGCUGCGGAGGAGAAAAUAACAAUAAUUUCAUCCACGAGAAACUUUUAAAGUAAAUUAUUAUACAUAUAUAUAUUUUAUAACGUCUAUAAAGUAUACAUCCCCAGAUAUUAUUAUGAGUACUACUCUUUCUUGUAUUAUGUUACACAGCGGAUACUUGGUUACUGGUUUGGGUCCCGUUAUAACACAGUUUUCGAUAUUUUUAAAAGCUAUCGUACAUAAAUAUCGCGCGGUAUUACACUAUAAGUGCAAUAAUAAAUUAAUUCGUAAUUUUAUUUCGAGGACGCAUACGCGCUAUCAUGGAAACAUACUAUAAUGCGAAGAAGUUUUAUAGUUUAGACACAAUAUUAUAUUACGGCUUUAUAUACGUAAUUUCCACAGAAAACCCUCGUCGAUUUAAUUUUGCGCGAGACUUAAUAACGGGUAUUCGAUUUCUUUUUUCUCAGUGUAUUUUACAUACGCGGGCAAAUUUUCCAAAUAGAUCCAAACAACUUUUAAACUCUUAGCGAAUCGAGGAACGUGUAUGUUUUAUUACGAUAUGUAUUAUUGAUACGAUGUGUAUUAUUUUAUUAUUAUUUUUUUUUUUUUUUGAAGGGCUGUAAACAUCAAUUUUUAAGAGAAAUCGUGUUCAAAUCAAACACUUUAUUGCAUGAAAUUCCUUUGUAAAUUUGUUGAGGUCAUUUUGUGAUUUUCAUAGAAUUUUUAGAAAAUCUCUGUGCUCCGAAAAUUUUAAUCACUAUCUAACAAAUAUAAUAUUAAUGUAAAAAUGGAAAACUUUUUUGAUUUUUUUCCCGCCAUUGCUGAGAUCUCCGUUUUGAUUCAAAGCAUUUAAAAUGCUUUUAAUAUUAUAUCGUAUAUAGUCUCGUUUUGUCCAUGGUAGGUAAUAUAAUAUCUGCCGCAUUGAGGAGUCUGUAAAAUAAUUUCAUUAGAUCGAUUUGUCUUCGUUAUUGCUAUGACAGUCUGUGAUGAUAAAGCUGUUAACAUUAUCUAUCUACGCGUUUUUUUAAAAACGUCCAAAUUAAAGACAACAAAUAUAUACUCUGACAAAACUACCCUAUUAUCCAAUAUAUUGUCGAGUCUUUUAUAUUUUUCUAUAUAACGCUAAUAAUGAUAUUUGAUCAAGUGGUUUUUUUUAUUAAUUUAUACAUAUACUUUUCACCAUUCAUUAAAUCGUUUAUCUUAACGGCAUAAAUACGAGUACAUGUAUUUUAAAAAUUGAAUUGGGUAUUGUAUUAAUAUUUAUACAAUUAUUGUAAAUAUUUCUAAAAUUAAAUUUUCUAGGAUUGUUUACCAUACAAAUUGACAUAAUUUUUUCUUCUCGAGGACCAAAGAAAUAUAAAUUUAAUACACUUUAGGUAUUUAUCAAUUUUCUUAAAAUCAUAGACAUAUAAUAUAAUUGACCAGGAACGAUAACCGUGUAAUAUAUUUAAAUCAACAAUGUGUACGAAAGAAACAGACAAUAUGAGUUUUUUUCAUGGAAGAAAAAGUAUGUGAACACAAUAAAAAAUAUUUGUGUAAUGUGAUAGUCAUGAUCAGUGAGCACAGACAUAUAAAUAUAGUAUCACGCAUAAUCUUAUCUAACGACUAUCAAUGUAAUUAAAGUUAUAAUCUCUUUGAUAAAAUGCAGAUUUAUAAAGUCAUAUUAUCCUUACAUAAUUCGUAUCAUUCCUGAUGUAUUCUAAUGUAUGCUAAUUUAUGUUUAAAAUCAAUACAAAUUUUAUGAUUAAACGGCUCGUUUAAACACGAUUGAUAACAGAUUUGAGAUAAAAAUGGUACAGUUAUAAUAAUAAAUACGAACGAAUAUCUUGAACAUGUACCUCAUAACUGUUAGACAAUUAAUUAUUUAAAUAAUUGUUAUGACAGUAAAUAUUUUUAAAACAGUCUUCAUAAAAUCGAUAAAUAAAUAUUUUCAGUCACAAAUUUAAAAAAAUCAAAAUCCAAUUUACUUCAAUGGGUGUUGUAACAAAAAUAGAUCGUAGUAUAACAACACAAUAAGAUAAAAUAAUUAUACGUAUUUAUACUAGCGAUAUUUUACUUGAAAAAUGUUCAAUACACUUUAGGCAGUCGUAUAUCAGUUAUUUAUUUUAUACUAAAAUAACAAACGAUUUAAUUGUUUUCUAUUUUUUUUUUUUUUUUACAACACAAAUAUUUUUUCAUUCCGUCCAUUAAUAUUAAACUUUUGUUCGGUUAACUGUAUCAUAUAAGAAUAUAAUAACAACUUUCAAUAUUUUUCCUCUACGUUUCAAUUAAAAUGUCUAGUGCGAAUUGAGUUUUGUUCUUUAAAAGUUCCUUUCGAUAUGUUUUCAACAAUAAUAACAUUGUAUACAAUUAUUUUUUCAAUACAAAACAAAUCAAAAGUCCAAAUGUGUAUUUUAUAUUAAUUUCUGGUAAUUGUUGUAAACAAUGUAUAUAUUGAAAUAAAAAAAAAAAUUGAAAUUAAUGCACAUCUCCAUGCCUCCUGUAAGGGUGCAAUAGUAAUGUUAUUGUGGCCACUACGAUUUUUUUAAUGUAAUCACACUGUGAACCUUUCUAAAUUAUUAUUGUUUUAAUAAGUAUACAAUUUUCUUAAAUUUAACUUUAAAAUUUUCACAGGAAAAAAUAAUGUGCAUUUAAUUAUACUUUUGACAUUAUAAAUAGCUAAUCAUUUUAAAUUUUAUUUUUUAUCAGUGUGAAUUACAUUCCACCCUAGAUGUAUGAGAGUAUUUAAAAGGAAUUCAAAAUGUGAAUUUUGGUCAAAGUUAUGGUGAAAUUGGAUAGACACUUUAAGAAACGAAAAACGUUUUAAUUUUCGCAAAUGUAUUUUUCAAAAAACCUCUCGAUCAGAUAUACGCGGACGUUUUAUGAAAACUCUUAAAAUUAUUUUCUCAGUCACUAUUUUAUAAAGUGUUAAACGUUUAACGAACUUUAACCUUUCGAAAUUAUCCCACGAUUUUAUGAUAAAAUUAUACACCCUUUUUGUAAAAGGUACUAAACGAUAUAACAAUAUUCUGAACAUAUUACUAUACGAUUAUGACCAUAAAUAUUACUUUCCGGGACAAAAAAAAAAAACCGUAUCAUUAUAAAAACUAAUAAUAGCUCAUCACUAAGUAUAUAUAAUUUAAAUGUUAUAUUAUUAAAAUUGUUUGUAAAGAUUUUUCGCAGAGUUCACGUAUAAUAUUAUAGUUUGAAAAUAUUAACGAUAUUAACGAUAACGAUAUCGUUAAUCAGUUAGUAGCCAACAAGUUUACCUAUGGAUUAAUUAACAUUUCUCACGAUAGAAUUUUAAUAUCAGAAAUGUAUCAAAUUUAUCUGUAAAUAUUUGUUGAUAUUUUCGUAUUAACUAUGUAUACUAUUUAAAAUGUAAUUCAUGUUUAGUUUAAUAAAAAACUAUACAUAUAACUAUUUAAGGAUAAAACAUCGAUUCAAAAUUAAAUACACUGUCAUACGCUAAAUAAAAUAAUCAAAUAUGAACAACACUCAUUAAAAAUGUUUUAUUAUUAUUAUUAUAAUUUACAACAGAAUGUAUAUAUUUUUUUUAAUUAGGUAAUUUAAUACAAUAUACAGAAUAUAAAAUAUUUCAUUAAAAUGUAUUUUUAAAAGUAUUUAAAAUAGCCGUUUGUUUUCUCAAUCUAUCUUGUUGCAUAAAACACAGCAUUUGUAUUCUUCACUAUUCUCUAGCCAUUCGGAAUAUCCGAACGACAGUUUUAAUUAGUUGCAAUUUAGUUAUCCAAAUUAUCUACACCCAUUUAUUUAUUUCCUCAUGCAAGAGCUAUUAGAUCUUAUUUAAUGUGUAGGUACCGUGAUUCGAACAUUUAAAAAUACAAAAUCAAUUUAACACUGAUAAAGAGAAUAUAGAAAUUGUUAUCUCACGGGGAGCGGAAAGUAAUUUGUGUGACGACACGACGUGCGGCGUUUUAAUUGUGUUUUGCUUAACUCUCCCUCUACCCAAACUUAGAAAAUGGAACUGAAAUAAACUCAAAUUAAAAAUUGUAAUAUAGUAACUUAAAAAAUAAUUCACUACUGCAGUUUACUACGUUAUUUUUAUCAGAUCUUUUUUUUAAUACGAUUCAUGAACAACAGAUACAUUUGCAUUUUUUGCUGUUAUAUAAUAUUUUAGUGGUAAAUUGUUUGUUAUUAAUUCGUAAUAAUUCAAAGAAAUGUAACGACUAUUUUUUAUUCAUUCUUUUUAUAGUUUGUAUCGGAGGGUUACAAACAUAUUAUUGUUAUAAUUCGACCCGACCAAUAUCGUUUGCAAUAAUUGAACAAUAUAACAUUAGUGCUAUCCGAGCGAGGAAUGGUGAUAAUUCGUUUAUUUUCGAUUAUUUUAUAGAUCGGUAUAGUUUUUAAAAAGUAUACAGUUUACAUUCUUUAUAUCGAUAGUUCCGAACGGGUAUGUAAGGCGUAAUAUCAGCUCUAUAAAUAAAAAAAAAAAAAAUAUUUAUAAUAUUAUAAUAACGAGGACUUUACUUACUGUUCGUAUUUUAAUGCACUGCGGUCGACGCGUCAAAAACAAUAAUAAUACUGUACAGUUAAUCUUCGGUCGUUUCGCAGACGUCUACGUUCUCCUCCUACGGUAACGAUUAUGCGGAGCAGAAAUAAAGAAACGAAAAAUUUCCCCUGUCUAUGUGUGUUCUCUGAUAAAAUAUUCUAACACAAGGACAUACAUAUAAUGUACUCUACGUUUAUAUAGUCUGUGGACGCGUACAGAUCCGGUCUGAGUGUUCGGUUGUACCCGAUUGUUCACGGGGAGAUUGUUUUCAAUGCGGGCCAUCUAAAACUUGAGAUACGCUACCUGAACAUGUUGGUAUUAUAUAUAGUCGAAUCUCGCUUUGCAUCGUGCGGAAAAGUUUUAAUCCCUUUUGGAUUAGGCGAUAUUUUUGUUUUAUUUCCUUUUUUCCCCCCUUUUCCUUUUAUUUUUUUCUUUAUUUAUUCGAAAAUAGUCUGUGUUUGCGAGCAGUUUAUAUCUACCUACUUAAUUUCCAUAGGAAUUCUCCGCAGGUUUUCCCGUGACCAAGCUCACGCAAAGAUGAAUACUGCGUGUCGCUCCUAUUAUAGGGUUUUGAAUUGAACGCAAUGAGAAAAAAAGUAAUCCACUGUUAAGUGAGCAACUAAAAAAACACUUAAAAUCUCAGCUCGCAUUAAACCAUAAUUACUAAAAUGAAAUAGAUAUUUUAAAAAUUAACAACAUUAUAAUAAUAUGGUUAUCGGUAUUUUUAAUAUUUGAUUUUAUGUAAUAAUUGUAUGCAUACCAGAGUGUUAUUAAAUAAUUUUUAUAUACGUAUUGAAAUAUAAAUUAAUUGUUUAAAACACACUUCGGUAAGCAGCAGUGCUCUGCCAUUGAAGUCGAAUUAUUCAUCAUCCAUUUUGUAAUGUGGAAAUAUUCUUUUUAAAACAAUAUAAUAGCCUAUAACUAAAAUUCUAUAAAUCCAAAAAAGUAUCAGGAUCUAUAGUUGAAUGGAAAAAAGCUCAAAAGAUAUCUCUUAACAUUAACCUUUAUAUACAAUAUUGCAUCCUCUAGCUUUAUGUGUGGGGGUUUAUAUGCCUACAACGCUUAAAAAACUACCUUAUAUCUCAUUAAAAUACUGAAAUUCGUAUGGUCUUCAAUCCACCUACAAUAGUUUCAGAGUGCGAGCUCGCUUAAACCAGACUAAAGUUGCUAGAAGUGAGCACAAAGUGCUAAGAUACUCAAUACAUUACACAAUAGUCAAUGUUGUCAAAAGAUAGAUAAAUACACGUAAAGUCGAAAAUUACAAAAGGAGUAAAAACAGGGAAGCGAAAGUUUUAAACUAGAUUUCGUUAUUAAAUACAAGUAUAUAGGUAUAAUUCCAACUUUGUAUUAAAAAAGCUAUUGCAUUUUAGGGUAAUGCAUAUGAUAGAAUUCCGUGAAUUUAACCUACGUUCUUCAAAUAUUUAUACGUCUAUC